rnacentral:lncRNA from 1 species
GUGGAGGUGGUGGAGACUUGUACUUGUAAGGGUGCUUGGGUGGGGAUGGAGGUGGUGGUGGGGGAGACUUGUACUUGUAAGGAUGCUUUGGAGGUGAUGGUGGUGGUGGUGGUGGAGACUUGUACUUAUAAGGAUGCUUUGGUGGUGAUGGUGGUGGAGGUGGUGGGGACUUGUACUUGUAAGGGUGCUUGGGUGGUGAUGGUGGUGGAGGUGGUGGAGACUUGUACUUGUAAGGGUGCUUGGGUGGUGAUGGUGGUGGAGGUGGUGGAGACUUAUACUUGUAAACUGGAGAUGGUGGGGGUGGAGACUUGUACUUGUAAGGGUGCUUGGGUGGUGAUGGUGGUGGUGGUGGGGACUUGUACUUGUAAGGAUGCUUGGGUGGUGAUGGUGGUGGAGGUGGAGGAGACUUGUACUUGUAAGGAUGCUUGGGUGGUGAUGGUGGAGGAGGUGGUGGAGACUUAUAGUUGUAAACAGGAGUUGGUGGGGGAGGAGAUUUGUACUUGUAAGGCUUCUUGUGUGGUGGUGGUGGUGGAGAGUAGACCGGAGGAGGCGGUGGUGGAGACUUGUAAUGGUAAGGUGGUGGUGGGUACUUCUUAGGUGGUGGUGGAGGAGAAGAAUAAGUGUAAUCUGCUGAGGUUUCAAAAGGCAAAUUGAGAGACACUGCUAAAACUAAAAGAGUGAGAAAGAGAGAGGUCAUUGAUGACCCCAUUUUCCCCAUCCUUACUUCUAAAAAUGGGUUUAAUUUGGUUAUGCUCUUAGCAGCCCUCUUCACUCCCUUUAUAUAGACUUUGUUUUAAAGUUACAAUCAUGAUAAAAGUGUGAAGGUGGACCGAACCUUCAGCAGCAUUGAAAAAAGACGUUACGUUUAGGUUAUUAGCAUGGUAUGACAUAAUAAUUCUCUAUUCUCUUCCUUGUCGUUUCCCAUAAAUUUAAUUUAAAUAGUCCAUUUGCUAUAUUUAUAUUUCUGUUUCUCUAUUAAAUAUUUAUCAAAUUCAUUUCUCACUCCUUAUAGAAUAUGAAUAAUUAAUCAUUAAACUCGAUUUAGUAAAUACUUUAAAAAAUGAUUUAUCUUAUUUUUAUGCUUUAAUUAAGGCAUCAAAUCAUUAAUCCCAUUUGAUAUUAUGAAAAUUUAUCACUUAAUUGAUCAAAAUGUGAUUCUUGGCAGGAAAACAUAAUUUACUUUCCUUAAAAUGUAAUUUUUAUUGAGAGUUAUUUUUCCACUAACAAUAGAAAGUGAUUCUCUUUAUAAUUCGUGAAAAAAUUACUUUCACAUGUAAAUAAAAAUUGUUAGGAUAAAAUUAACUUUUCUUUUAUUUAUGUUAAGGUUACUAAUUAACUUAUUCAACUUUAAUAAAAGAUAAACAUAGUUGUAGCUUGUUUGUUGAUGUUAGUUUUUUGUCUUUACAACUUCAAACCAUUAUUCUAGUGUAAUUUUUUUUUCUUUCUAAAUAGUAGAUAAGUAUCUAUAUUUUAUUUUGCUAUAAGAAAAUUAUAUUUUUUAGCAUACAAAACUUAAGAUAACUUGUAGAAUCAAGUAGUUGUAUACCUAUUACUCUAGCAAUAAUAAUAUUGACAUUGUCUACUUUCAAAUUAAAAUUUCAAAUUAGUUCAUUGCCCAAUUUUCUCAUUAAAAAAAAUUAUAUAUAACAUGUCAACUUAACGAAACUUACAUGAAAUUUUGUAUGUGUUAAAAAUGAAAAAUAUGGCGGUUAUUAAAAAAGAUGUCAUACAUCUAAAUCAAACUACUAAUUUAAAAAUUAGUAUUGAGAUAAUUUCAAGCCAUAUAUGCAAUAUUUGAGUAUACUUGAACUUAUACAUACAAAUUAGUGAGGAUUAAAAUUUUGUAAAUUGUACAUCUUCACAAUCUUGCGUUAAUAUACAAUUUUUUUAAUGUAUUAAUAUAAUGUUUUAGAUCAAGACGUGAAAAAACAUAAUUCAAAUAUUUGUUAAUAGUAAAAAAUUAUUAAUAAAUAUUUAAUUCAAAAUUUAUUAAUAAUAAAAAUUAUUGAAAAAUAUUAAAUACGUUAAUAUUAUUUUUAUUUAAUAAUGAUACUUUUGUACAGUAAUCUUAUAUUCCCAAAUAAGUGUUAAAUGUGUCAAGAUUUUAAUCAAUACUUUCCGGUGAUUACCAAACGUUGUGAAGUAACUUCUUAAACAAUAAUAUUCUUAUCAAUCACAUUCCAUUAAAAUUUUAACAUAGAAAAGCACCAAAACGCCCCCUUAAAAUCGUGGUAAGUCUUGUUUGUCUAAAAUUUAAAUAUUUAUUUUAUUAUUUAAAAUAUAUUAAUUUUCUAAAAAAAAUCAUUAAUAUUUAUAUUUCUAAUUUUAAACAUUCUUUUGUUAAUUAAAUGAUAGUCUAAACGGUUAAACUCAAAUCGAAAGCAUUUUAUCUUAUAUUAGAUUAUAUGAAUCAUAUUAUGGUUGAAAGUAAAAUGUAUAAAAUCAAUACAAACAUCAAAUAUUAAACUUCCACUCAAUAGAUUUUAAAAUUUCUAAUUUUAUCACUAAUCUAUUUUAAGAUUUUUUUAAAAAAAAUCGUACUUUAGAUUAUCUAAUUUAAAAUUUUAUAAAAUUAUUAAAAAAUAUUCUUGUAAUAAAAAAAAUUUGUUUUAAAAUUUUUAAUUUUUUAUAUAACCAAUGAAUUUUUUACGUUUGUUUUAACUGGUUAUCUAAACAAAAUAAAAACUUAUUUAGUUUAAAUAAAGUGGUAAAUGUGAAAGCACCACAAAUCACAACUACAUUAGUUUUAUAAUUGGAUUAAUUUAAUCACCGGCAGAGGAAAUGUGUUAGUUCUAGCUACCAACAAUUCAUUUUAAUUCCUUUAAAAAUAUUAGAAAAAACCAAUUUGAUUUUUAAUAAUAGAUCUAAUUACUUAAAGGAACAUGGGUGAUGUGCACAUGGCAUACAAGCAUAAAAAAGAACAAAAAGAUUAAGUAUCUUUGCAAAAUAUCUCUCUCUGAAAUAAAUAAAACUUAAAAAAAAACAAUUUUAUUAUCAAAAUAAAAAGAAAAUAGUGUUUUUCUUCACAAAAAAAGAAAAGAAAAGAAAUACUAGUGUUUUUAAUUAAAAUAGAGUGAUCUGGGUAGAAUCUUUUACUUAAAUACUGACAUUGACUUUAUAAGCUAUUUUUUAUCAAAAGAAGAAAGAGAAAAGCAUCCGAUUGAAGAUGUGAAUUAUUAAGUUAAAAUUAAUCAUACAUGUAAAAUAUUAUUGUGCUUUUUUCUAGCCCUCCGAAAGACAUUAUGCUUUGAUUACAACAUUCUUCCUCAGAGAUGAGGUUUGAAGAUGAACUCGGAUGCAUUUAGAUUUUUACAAGACGAAAGUAAAUUAAAGGAUGUUAGUACUUGUAUUCCGAUACGCUUAUAAUACAGAAAGCAAGUAAUAUGUGACUGUACAUAAUGGCUAUGAGGCGAGGAUAUGAUACGAGAAGAUAGAGAUGAGAGAUUGCACUUAAGGGGUUAGCACCUCUUUUCUUUUUGUGUUUGGUCCCCAAAGCAUAUCUCUUAUUGGCUGAUGUUGCAAGGCGGUCCCAUAAGUUGGGCUAAAAGUGCUUGAUAGCUAGAAUUAAUAUUGUGGUAUAACAUAUGUCACCCCUAUAUUUGAAUAAGGUUACAAAGUGACUACUUGAAGAUUUAAAAAAGCAUGGAGAUAAUUUUGUUGCGAAAAUUAAAAGUAAGAGCUAAAUUGUUUGGCUUUAUUAGAGUAUAGACUCUGUUAGUCUAUUAUCAUUUUGUUAUAUAGGCUGGAAUAUUAUUAGUAAGCAGUUAGCAGCAGUUAGUCAUACAAGUAUAAAUUCUAUUCAUGUAUUGUUCAAAGAUAAGCUAAUAAUACCAGAAGAGAUUUAACAUGUUCAUUCUACUUUUUUUUGUUAUUCUUCAUAAUACAGUUGUUAACAUGGUCUCAGUCGCCAAAUUUCUUGGAGGUUGCUUCUAUUGUAGAUCCAUGGCCAAUUCCACUGAUUCUACCUUCGCUGGUCGUAGCAGUCCCUCAUUCUCAGUUCAUGUUUGGUUCAAUCGUUUCCUCGUCAUGGCACUGUGAAGUUAGAUGAAGGAAAUUUUGUACAAUGGCAACAGCAUAUCCAAUUGAUAAUUGAAGGAUAUGAACUCAUAAGAUUUUUAGAAGGGACGUUACCUGCUCCGCCUCGCUUUGUGUCAUCUCCGGAUGGAAACUUAGCUCUGACUCCCGAUGCAUCCCUGUUUGUUCAGCAAGAUAAGUUACUCGCUUAUUGGUUACUUUUUACGAUUAGUGCUCCUUUGUUUUCUUGUUUUACAACUGCUAAGACGGCGUGUGAGGUUUGGAGCACUGCGAAUUGCCUAUUUGCUGCUGCCACUAGAGCCAAGCUUUCGCGUAUUAAGCAUGAACUCCAGUCCAUCACGAAAGGCGUGAUGACUAUCAAAGAGUAUAUUGCUAAGAUUCAAAAUACUUGUGCGUUACUCGAGGAAUCUAGAUCAGUGGUUUUAAAGGCUGAAAAGGUAGAGAUCAUUCUUGCCGGCCUAUUGUCUGAUUAUGAUGUCGUUUUAACUCUGGCAUCGUUCUCAACUGAAACUUUUUCGUUAUAAAAGAUUGUUGAUAUGCUUCUGGAGUUCGAAAGCCAUCAGACUCAAGCGGUGAACGACGUACCUUUUCAUGCUCAUUUGGUAGAGGCCACUUCGGCGACAUCCGUGGAGGACUCCGUACGUGGUGGUCGUCCUCCUUCUGGUGCUCGUAGGCGCGACUUUCGAUCUCAGCUUCAGUGCCAGGACUAUGGUUGCUAUGGACAUUUGGUACAAUGCUGUUAUUAUCAGUUCAACCGCGACUACAGUGAUCUGUCUGUUUUGACCAUGGCGCGGGUUUCGCCUGUUCAUGCUGAUCACAAUUAGCAUAACGAUGUUUUUGGCGCAAGUGGUCUCUCGACUAGCUGGUUUUCAUCAACUUGUCCUGGUCCGGACCCGUUCGUGCCUGGACAGUAUGUCGAUUCUUUGGUGGUGACACCGGCGUAUUUCUCUUAUGGCUCAUCAUGGUGAGGGUGGCCACAUUUGCAAAACAAUGCCUCCCUUGUGCCAAGUUUGUUGAAUGUUAAGGUUUCUAACCCUUUUGCUCAUAAUUUUGACGAUGGGGCAGGCUAGGUGUUUGGGCUCGCUGUUGGACCAAGCUCAAAUUGUGGCCAAUUUGGUGGUCCUCACUUACCGCGGAGAAUGGGCCAGCACGUUAGGCCAUUUGCUAGUGUUCCUAGGCCGACUGGUUCAGGCCAAGAUUUUGGGCCAUAUGGAAUUCGUAGGCUAACCAGUGCUGGUCCUAACAUUGGACAGGGUUCACUUGGGCCAAAUGUUAAUUUUGUUAGACUUGAGGGCUCUUUUGGGCAUGGACAAGGACUUUGGCCCACCACUGGCAAUGUUUCAGUGCCAAAUAAUGGGUCAUGCGUUCCAUGGCGCACUAAACUGACGGCGCACAUUAUUGAUUGAUUUCUCACUGUGUGUUGGGUUGCCUCACAUUCUUGAUUUUCAUGUGUCUGAUAUUUUUACUACCUCUGGGUCCAAUGCUAACACGACUCCGUAUGGGUCUAAUUUUGAUAAUGAUAACUCUUACAUUCCUAUGCCUGUAGGGACCUUGUCCUGGUGUCUUAAUUCAGGGUCUAUACAUCAUGUCUAUCGAGAAGCCUCUACCUUGAACGAGUCUACGCCAUACUCAGGUACAUCUCCUCUCCUCAUGGAUGAUAUUACUCCUACAAAAAUAUCAUGUGUUGGAAACUCUAUCUUGCCUACGAAGACUAAGCUGUUUCAUCUAUCUAAUGUUUUGUGUGUGCCAAAUAUACGGAAGAAUCUGCUAUCUGUCUCUCAAUUUGCUAAUGACAAUAAUAUGGUCUUUGAAUUUCACCCGUCUUAUUGAGGACAUCCAGACUCAGGAAAUUUUGCUUCGGGGCCACACUCGUGAUGGGCUCUAUUAUUUUUCGUAGGUUACUCAUGUUCCGUCUGUCGUUGUUCCUUCUGUUCACAACACUGGGCUCCAGAGUCGCAAUGCCGGUGAUGAUGUUUUUACGUUAUGGCACUACAGACUUGGUCAUCCGUCUGCCUCGAUUGUUAAACUUGUUCUCGAUAAGUGUCAAGUUGUUUCAACUAAAAUGUACCUUGAAAAUAUUUGUAUUGCUUGUCAAAAGGGGAAGUCCCAUAAACUGUCUUUUUCAAGUUCUACUACUAAAUAUACGGAUUUGUUUGAAUUGGUUGUCUUUGACUUAUGUGGACUGGCAUCUGUUGUCUGUAGAAAUAAUCUGUAUCAUGUUUCGUUUAUCGACAUGUGUAGUUAUUUUACUUGGAUUUAUCUCAUUAAACGUAAUUCUAAGGAGGUUGAAUGUUUUCUUCAGUUUCAGAAAAUGGUCAAAACUCAGUUUGGGAAAGAUAUUAAAAAAAUUCAAAGUGAUUGGGGUGGUGAGUUUCUUGCCUUUACGUCAGUUCUGGCUAGUCAUGGGAUACUUCAUCACCUCUCCUGUCCAUAUACAUCCGAGUAGAACGAUGUAGCUGAACGAAAACAUCGACACAUUGUUGAGAUGAGUCUUAUUCUAUUGGCCAAAGCUAACCUAUCCAUGGAUUUCUGUGGUUUCGUAUUUUACAAUGCCAUUCAUCUCAUUAGUCUUCUACCGACCCUAGUUCUGAAAGGUCAGUCUCCAUAUCAGGUUCUUCAUGGUAGUGACCCUACAUAUGAUCAUUUACAAGUAUUUAAGUGUUGUUGAUUUUCGUACCUGCGUCUGUUUCUGCAACACAAGUUGGAUUUUCAUUCUCAGCCAUGCAUAUUUUUUAGGUAUAGUUCUCAACAUAAAGGCUAUCACUGCCUCACACCAAAUGGUAAGGUCAUUGUCUCUCGUCAUGUUGUGUUUGAUGAACGUUGGUUUUUCUUUUCUUCAAAUGCUGUGAACACCGUUCAGUUAAGUCCAUGUAUCUCUACAUAUGUUCCUAUUGUUCGGUCUUCAUCUUGCCGCCCCACGACAUCUUCGCUUGUUCGACCCACUGAGUCAUCGACUCUUGCUCCUAAUUGUAGUUCCACGCUGUCUGUUUCAGUUGACACUCCGGCUGAAUUAGGUUUUACUCAUGAGGUGCAUCGGCUCUCUACCUCAUCCCUUGAAUCUCGUCAAUGCGAUCCAACUACAAUUCCAUUGGCUGUUCCAUCUAUUUCUCUGGAAUACUCAUAACACUAUUACUCAGCUAGACCCAAAGCUCUGUCUGUUGAAAUUGUCAACUGUGAGUCGAUCACGAUUGAAGAGGCGCUCGCUAGUAAGGAAUGGCAAUUAGUUGUCCAAGCUGAGUUUGUUGCUAUAAUGGUUAACUCCACUUGGGAGCUUGUUCCCUUACCUCAUGGUCGAAAAGUGAUUAGGUGUAAGUGGCUUUUUAAAAUAAAAAAAUCCUGAUGGGACUAUCACUUGACGUAAGGCUCGGUUGGAAGCAAAGGGUUGUUCUCAGGUACUCAGGUGUGAUUUCAAGGAAACCUUUAGUUUGGUAGUUAAACCUGCUACUAUUAGAACCAUAUUAUCUGUUGCUAUCUCCAACGGUUGGCAAUUUGGUCAGGUAGAUGUGAACAAUGCUUUUUUAAAUGGUGAUCUUAUUGACGAAGUGUUCAUGCAGCAACCUCUAGGCUAUGUUCAGAUUGGUCAAAAUGGUGAGCCCUUGGUGUAUCAUUUGACAAAGGUGUUGUACAGAUUAAGACAAGCUCCACGUGCUUGGUUUGAUAAAUUGAAACGUUUUUUUGUUUCUAUUGGAUUUGCUUUAUCCAAAUCUGAUGUAUCCUUAUUUGUUCAAGUUAAUUCGAAUCCACUAUUUAUGUUUUAGUCUAUAUGGAUGAUAUUAUCGUUACUAGAAGUACGAUCGACGGUAUAAAUGGCUGUAUUCAAUAGUUACAUAAUGUGUUUCCCUUAAAGAUAUGGGAGAUCUUUACUACUUCUUAGGCAUUGAAGUCACUCGGUAGUCCACUGGGAGUCUCCAUUUGUGCCAACGCAAAUACAUUCGGGAUCUUCUUGACAGUAGUUUUUUAGCUAAUGCAAAGAGUGUUCACACACCGAUGGUUAGUUCUUUUACGUUGUUUAAAGAUGUGGGAGAUCGCCUCGUUGAUCCUACUGGAUAUAGAAGUCUUGUCGGUGUAUUACAAUAUGUGGUCUUGACUCUGCCUGAUAUUGCUUAUGCUAUAAAUCAUGUUUGUCAAUUCAUGCAUGCCCCUACUACAGUACAUUUGGUGGCUUUGAAAAGAAUCUUGCACUAUUUAUGUGACACUAUUAAUCAUGGGUUAAUUUUGUCUGUUCAACAUAUUGUCUUUAGUUGGCUAUGCUAAUGCCAACUGGGGACUGGAUUUUGAUGAUCGUAAAUCAACAACAAGCUAUUGUUUGUAUUUUGGGUAUACACCCAUCUCUUGGUGAUCUAAGAGACAACUCUACUGCGUGAGGCGAAGUAUUUUGGCCGCACCAUGGCUGAGGUGAAGUAUCGAAGUCUAGCAACAACUACCAGUGAUGUUACUUGGUUAGUCUCUCUACUAACAAAAUUACAGAUUCAUUCUAUAGAUCCACAUACUAUUUGGCGUGACAACUCUAAUGCAGUAGCGGUCAUUGCUAAUCCGGUCUGACACUCUAAAUUUAAACAUGCCAAGCUUGAUCUAUUUUUUGUUCGCGAAAAGGUCGCUAAUGGUUCUCUCGUUGUCGGUGAGAUUCUAGCAUGUGAUUAAGUUGCUGACAUUCUCACAAAACCACUGUUCGUCUCUACUUUUGCUAGGUUUCGUAGUCUGCUUCAAUUCUUACCUCUUGAGAAGCUGGGUGAAGCCAGGUGAAUAUUAGAGUAUAGACUCUGUUAGUCUGUUACCAUUUUGUUAUUCAGGCUGGAAUAUUGUUAGUAAGCAGUUAGUCAUAGCAGUUAGUCAUACAAUUAUAAAUUCUAUUCAUGUAUUGUUCAAAGGUAAGCUAAUAAUACCAAAAGAGAUUUAAUGUGCUCAUUCUACUUUCUUUGUUAUUCUUCAUAAUACAGUUGUUAACAUGCUUGAUAUCAUCUCUUAGAGAGAACGAGGAGAGAUAAGAGUAAGAGUAUGAGCCAACUAGGGAUAAGGCUCUACCAUAAUACCUUGGAUGCAAUUAAAGUAAGAGUAAGAGCCAACUUGUUUGGCUUGAUAGCAUCCCCUUAUAGAAAAGGCUCUACCGCAUGGCAUGAGAGCAAUAAAAGUAACACUCAAUUUCUUGGGUUGAUAGCAUCUCCUUAGGGAAAAGGGUUUACCAUGUGACAUGAAAGCAAUUAAAGUAAGAGUAAGAUCCAACUUGUUUGUCUUAAUAGCAUCAUUUAAGAGAAAUAUCCCAAUCAAUUUAUUCAAAUAUGUUAAUCAAAUAAUGCAAGUUACAAUGUUCUGUCAGUUUUUCCUUUAAUUGUAACUGGGUUAAAGUUGGUAGUUGUAACUGCUACUAAUAGAAUGGAUACGGUAGAAAUGGUUGCAAGCAACAUAAGCAAAGAUGACUUUAAUGUCUUUGUAUUGACCACGUGAGAACUAUAGAAUGCAGAGAAUAGUAUGGUGAUUGGCAACAGAAUGCUACUAACCUUGAGGAUAGUAGACAGGGAUGGAUCCACGGGGGUUGGGGGCGGUCCCCCCUUGGAAUUUUUAAAAUUUUAAAUUUUAUAUAUAAAUUAUCAUGUAUUUUAAAUUUGGUGUCCACAUUGUAUAGCAUUCACCCCCCUUUUCCAAAUUGCAUUUCAUAUCAUUUGCCCUCUUAAGCCAUAAGGUUAUACUUUAUAUUAACAAAGUAUUUUCCAUUUUUUAAUUAUAUAAAUUUAAUAAUAAUAAUAAUAAUCAAAUAUUAAUAUAUGAUUGGCAUUGAAAGACUAAACAUAAAGGUCCAGUUGAGACUUUAAAGCCAAAUUCCAUAAUUAAUUAAUUGAUUUGGCCCAUACCAGUACAUAUUAGGUUAGCGAAAUUCUUGUAUUUUGAUUUGUAUGUCUUGCUAAGGAAUUAUCUUCCUUUGGUAAGGUGUUGACACUGCCAAGAGAAAAAGAAAGGAUUUUGAUGUCGAGAUUGUGAGCAUAGAGUAAAAAAAAUACAAAUUAUCUUCCUCUUAGCUCCUUAUGGAAAAAACCUCUCGGUAAAUAUUUUUGCAUAAAUUAUGUUUUUUAUUAAUUUGACUUAGUUUUUUUCUUUUUUCCUAAUACAUUGUUGUUUAAUAUAUUCUUACAAUCAUCAGGUUUUUUGACUAAAUUAUGGUCAAUAAAAACAUCGAAUCUAUUUAAAAAAAAAGAGUGUCAGAAAGCAAUAAUGAUCAACCGGUUCCUCAACCUUCCAUUAUUAGUGAAGAAAAAUCAAAUAUCGGAUCUUCCAAAGCUCUUGAACAAAAUAUCAGGUCUUCUUAAGCCCAAGCUCCUAAAUGCGGUAUGGAGUCUUCCCCAACUCCUGAACGAGAUUGUAACAAUCCAUACCCAAUUCGAUCACCAAAUCCAAGUAGAGAGCGCCGCAACUUAAACCAUAUGAAUUGAAUAAUAAAUAUUUGAAAUUUAUUAAAGUAUCGAGUUCUUGGUGUAACCCUCAGUAUAACAAUACGAAACAAUUAAAUCAAUGAUACGCCAGGAAAAAAUGUUUUUAGGCAAAACACAUGGCGGAAGCCUUACAAAAUUUUAUAAGUUUAUAUAAAAUGUAAGAUGAGUUAAUCCCAUACAACAGUUUCAAGUGCAUCGUUGGCGGUUAAAAGAACAUUCAAAAACUAUUCGGCGUAUAUGCCAAUGAGACAAUCACGUGGAACAAGAUAUAGUAGCUUAAACACAUACAUCACUUACCACGUCAUCAUAACAUAUACUAACCAUAUAAACAAACUUAUCGAGCUGCGAACUAACAAGUUCACCCAAACAUCUAGGGUUAGCGAUAACUUAUUAGAAGAGCCCGCCAAACCCUAGAGUUCGCCAAAACCUGGAGUUCACCAAAUGGCGACUCCCAUAGAAUACGCCAAACACACAACCAAAAAUAAAUACUCUACUAAUUUACUCAUUUUAUAUUCUUAGCAUAAACAACUAUGCACCAAACAGUAACUUGAUACAUUAUCUUUCGGGCGAGUUGUUACAAUUCUCCCCCAUUUAGAAACUUUUGUCCUUGAAAUUCUUACCGGUGAAUAACUGAGGAUAUUGUUCUUUCAUCGAACUCUCUCUUUCCCAAAUGGCUUCUUUUGUAUUGUGAUUUAUCUAUAAUACAUUAACCAAAGGAAUUCUUUUACUUCUCAACUCUUUUACUUCCCUUGCUAAAAUACAAACAGGUUCUUCUUCAUAGGACAAGUUUUGCUCCACUUCCAGUGCUUUGACUUGUACCACAUAAUCUGGAUUGGAUUGAUAUUUUCUUAACAUAGAUAUAUUAAACACAUUAUGUAUAUUUGAUAACUCUGGUGGCAACACCAGUUUGUAUGCCACUGGACCAACUUAUUCCAAAAUCUCAUAUGGUUCUAUGAAAUGCAGACUUAAUUUCCCUUUUUGUUCAAACCUUAUGAUCUUCUUCCAAAGAGAAAACUUCAUAAAUGCAUUGUCACCCACUUCGAAAGAGAUUAUUUUCCUUUUUAGAUCAGCAUAAGCUUUCUGGCGAUCUUAAGUUACUUUCAGAUGAUUUCUAAUGAUAAAGACUUUCUCUUCUGUUUCUCAUACUAAAUCAAGACCAACUAUUUUCCUUUUACUGAGUCUCAUCCAAUAGGUAGGAGAUCUGCACCUUCGUCUAUACAAAGCUCCAAAUGGUAACAUUCCCAGACUGUCAUAAUAACUAUUAUUAUACGCAAACUCUAGCAAAGGAAGAUAUCUUUCUCAAUUCAUUCUAAAAUCUAUAAUACAACCUCUAAACAUGUCUUCUAGAACUUGAAAUACUCUUUCAAAUUGCUCAUCGAAUUAGGGAUGAAAGGUAGUACAGAAUCAUUAUUUCGUUCCCAACGAUUCUUGCAGUUGUCUCCAAAAUCUCAAUGUAAACAUUGGGUCUCGAUCUGAAACUAUGGAUGUUGGAAUCCCAUGAGGCGUACAACUUCAGAAACGUAGAGAUUAGCCAACUUUUCCAAUAAGUAAUUUGUGCGGACAAACAAGAUAUGGGCUAACUUAGUAAGUCGAUCUACAAUUACCUAGACUGAGUACUUCUUCGAAAGGAUGAGAGGGAGAGCCAAAACAAAAUCCAUGGUGAUCUUAUCCCACUUCCACAUAGAUAUCUCUAAAAGGUACAACUUGCCUAAGGGAACCUGAUGUUCUAUUUUAAUCUGCUGACAUGUCAAACAAAUGGAAAUGUACUUUGUUAUUUCUUUCUUCAUUUCAAGUCAGUAAUACAAACUUAUCAAAUUAUGAUACAUUUUAUGUAAAACUCUCAACCCAACUCGAAAUGUCGAGUCUGGAUCUCGGGUAUUACUAUACAUAAUACUUGGCAAAAUAUCAAAAUAGUUGACAAAUACUCUUUAUAGAAAACAUUUUCUUAUUAUUUUAACCAAAAGACUAAAUAUUUAAUAACAAGAGAAAAUAUUAAAAACAAAAAAAAAUUAUUACAUCAGACUUGGUACAACUCAUUAUAGUAUAAAAUUUUGUUAAAGACAUACUCUUGGGGCAUAACCCUAAUCUAAGCCACUUUUCCACUAUAUGCAUAAUAACCCACUUCGCCACUAUCUUGGCGUACUCCUAGCAUCGUCACUCCUAAUGCAUUCUCUACCCAUACACCUGAAAACAACAACAUUUUAAGCUUAAGAUAACUUAGUGACUUUUAUCCCAAAAAUACCUUGGCGAGUACUUUAUAUUAUUUGAAGAACAUUUGUGCGCCAUCUAUCCUUCUGAACCACCUUCUUCUGAAUUAAGUGGAUACUAUUAUAGAUUCAACUUUCACUUACACGCCAACUAUCAUACUCUUAACAAACUCACUUAUUCUAGAAUAGUUGUUCACAUAUAUUAAUCACUAAUUGAUACAUUCAUAUUUGGCGAAUACUUACGCAGAUCUGAAUACCAUCAAACUACUAAUCAAAUCAUACCUUGAUCCGAUACCAUACAAACUCAUACUGAUAAUGUACUACACAAAUUAUUCAAAUGAAUUUUCCACUACUUUGUUACAGGACCCCAGAUAAUCAUCAUAACAAUAACUCAAUUUUCAUAUGAUUUCAGAAGAAGAUAUAAUACAACCCAAAUACGGCAAAUUCCAGAUAACUCAGAUUCAACAACUGCUUAACACAUACGAACUCACAUUUAUAAUUUCUUAUGUCCCACAUAACUACGACUAUGUCUAUAUUCAACACUAACAAAUAAUCAUGACGGAUACCCUUCUUAUACAUAUAUGCAUUUCUUUUCUAGAAAUCUCUUAAGACUUACUCAAUUAUAUCACAUAUCUUAUUCAACCCUUAACUUUAGACAUAUCAUAACCCUAUCAUAUCAAUAUCUAUCACAAAAAAAAUCAGGAUUUAUCCAAAACUUACCAUAAAGGUAGAUAAUCAUAUUAUAUCAGACAAACUUAACUAAAUGUGCCACAAAGGCCAAACAAAAUAUGCCUUAAAGGCUUCAUACAAAAUCACGUGUUUACUAUCCCGACGGACUAUCACAAAAGGUGUCAUGGGUUUCUCCCACAUGGACUUAUACAUAAUUUCAUGUAUUGUGAUCUGCCAUUUUGAAUCAUACGUUAUCGAAGGAUACUCCAUAAGCAUACAUACAGACAUAUCUUGCCAUGUGUCUCAGCCACAUGGCUUAAACACACAUUCAUGUACUGUGAUAUGUCAAUCCAGUCUUACUCUUAUUAGAGCCUACACCAUGAGUGUUUUCAAAUCAUAUUAAGAUGUUGUAGGUCUCAACCUCAUAGUCUUACACUUGUUUUCAUAUCGUGACCUGCCAGUCUAGUUAGCAAUAUAAUUGCCUACCAGAGGCUUCAUAGAGGAACAUUUGCUUAGAUUCACUUACCUAGAUGAUCUGUAACACCCCUUACCCGAGACCGUUGUCAGAGUCGAGCACGAGGUAUUACUUAUCUUAUCUUACUAACUCGAAGCAUAAAAACUUGUUUUAAAAAUUAAUUUCACUAUUUAUAGCAAUUUGUCCAAUCGCGCAGCAGUUACUAAAUUAAUUAUAACUCGAGAUACGGAACUUGAAAUUUAACUCCGUAAAUUUUCCCUGAAACUAGACUCAUAUAUCUUCCUACCAUAAAAAUUUUAGGAUUUUUAGUUUAUCAAAUUAGUACAGUUUAUUAGUUAAAUUCUCCCCUGUUUCACAAAUCGACUGCCCUGACCUCUUAUCACUAAAAAUAAAAUGUAUCAUUGUGGGAUUUUCGUAUAGUGCUACCGCUUGCUUCUACAGAAAAUAGACUCAAUAAGGAAUCUAUACAUAUAAACUACAACUCAUAAAUAUUUUUUUAAAAUUUUUAAUGAUUUUAUAAACUCAAAACAGGGGUCACCAAAAACUGUUCUAACCCUGUCUCACCAAAAUUCACAUAUCUUAAAAUAUAAAUUCCUUUUGCUACACCGUUAUUUUUAUGUGAAAAUAGACUCAACAAGAUUUAUGUCAUUCAAUAUUUAAUUCAUUUUAUACUAUCCUAGGUGAUUUUUCAAAGUCACGUCACUGUUGCUGCCUGAAUUCUGUUUCUUUGCAAAAUUUUACCCUUUUAUGAUUUCCAUGCAUAGUUUAUCACUUAGACUCUUAUAACAACAAACACUUCCAUACUUAACCAUUUUAGCAACCAUUCAUCAUCAAAUACUUACACAUCAUUCUUUAGCAAGAUCAUAAAUACAAACAUUUAAAAUAACUAAAUCCCUUUACAUUCCAUACUCAACAUGGUUCAACAUAAAAAUACCGAGUUGCUGUGGUUGAUAGUGUGGACGAUCUCCGACUUCUUUAGGAUCCUUGAAGUAACCUUGCAAUACUAUAAGAGAAAGAGAAAUAAAAGACGUAAGCAUAAAGCUUAGUAAGUUUACUAGCAAAUAAAUAACAAUAUUUAACUAGAUAAUUAAACUCAAGUGUCUAUAUCUCUAGUUUACUAUUUAGUUAAUCUCAUUCUAGUUCUCUUGCUUGUUUACUUAGUAUACUUGUGUGCAUAACUUACUCCUCUCUUGCUGUAUAGUUGAAUAUCAAUUGAUAAUAUAAUAAGUUAUUAACUCUUAUAACUUACCUGAACUUGCCAUUUAUGUUUUUAACUGAACUUUCCUGAACAUGAUUCGUUAUUUAGCCCGUUGAGCUACAUUGGAACAAUAAGGAUACUCGGGUCUCUUCUGAUAAUAACAUGCCAAAGCCAUGUCCCAGACAUGGUCUUACAUGGGAUGUACUCAUGUCGGUGCCCAUUCCAUAUCCCAGACAUGGUCUUACGGGGGACCUCUCAUCUCGGUGCCAAUGCCAUGUCCCAGACAUGGUCUUACAUGGGACCUCUCAUCUCGGUGCCAACGCCAUGUCCCAGACAUGGUCUUACAUGGGACCUCUCAUCUCGGUGCCAACGCCAUGUCCCAGACAUGGUCUUACAUGGGACCUCUUUACCCAAAUGUCAUGACAUUCGUAUCCAGUACCAUCCUUACUAUUCAUGACAACCGAUAUAUAUAUAUACAUACUCACUAUUCACAAGGACUCGAACGAUUAUAUACUCAUCAACCACCUUAAAACAAUGUUCAUAAACUUAUCCAUUUCAUAUAAACAAAAGCAUAUAUAUUUAUAACCAAUGCAUAGAAUCACUUAAUUUAAACAGAUUCACUGGCACUUCACCUGAUAGGCUUAUAGUUUAAUUCAGUUCACCGGCACUUAGCCUACUAGGCUUGUAGCCUGAUUCAGUUCACCGGCACUUAGCCUGCUAGACGUAUAGUCCGAUUCAAUUCACCGGCAUUUAGCCUGCUAGACGUAUAGUCUGAUUCAAUUUACCGGCACUUAGCCUGCUAGACGUAUAGUCUGAAUAAUUUUACUGGUAAUAAAUCCGAUAGUAAUUUCUCCGUUGAAAUUGAAUUAUAUUCAAUUCUGCGUAACAAACAUGCACUUAAAACAUACUUGCAUAAUUCACAACAAUAAUUUCAGUCCAAAGAGCUGUAAUUCAUAUUCGAACUAUAUAUAUAUAAAUCCAUACAUAAAAAUUCAACUCAAAAUUUAUAACCUAUAUCUUUGAACCACAUAGGUACAUGAAAUUCAAACACCAAAAUCCAGCUCAAUAACUUCAUGAUUCAACCUAACAAAUUUAUGUAUAUAACUUUUUAUCUAAUUUCAAUACAAUAACUUAUACAUGUACGUAUAUACAUAUUCGAAUCUAACAUAUACAUAUAUAAUUUCAUACUUAAAUAUAUUCAAGACUUAUUCAUGAGUAUACAUAUAUAUUACAACUCACAUGUACAUAUAUAUACACAUUCAUACCUUUAACCAAGUCCAAGGCUUUAUACAUGUAUAUGCUUAUAUAUAUAUAUUCGGACCUUAUGUUUACAUAUAUAUAUUAUAUAAAUACCUUUGAUUAAAAACAAGUAUUUAUACAUAUAUAUAUUUUCGAACAUGAUACAUAUAUAUUUAUAUCAUUCAUACUUAAACAAAAUUCAAUCCAUAUACUUUCAAUUUCAGCUCACCAAAUUACUAUAGAUAUACAUGCAUAUAUACUGAUUUAAUAACCUCAAAUUGCUAAUAGACUUACCUCGGAUAUCAGCGGACACGAUCGAGUAUUCGAUUACUUUCGUUUUUCCCCGAUCCAAAUUCGUUUUCUUCGUUUUUUAUCUUAAUUAGACCUAGAGAUAGCCGAACCUUGUUGUUCUCUUUUCUUUUCUUUUCUUUUUCUUUUCUAUAUUCGGCCAAGAUGAAGAACAUGGCAUUUAAAAUUUGUUAUAUUAAACAUAUAUUAGCCUUAUUUUUAAUUUACUAUAUUAACCUUUACAUAUAUAUAACAUAUAUAAUAAGGUUACAUUAGUCCUUUGCCACCCACUAACUUACAUAGUGGACUAAUUGCAUAGUAAAACCUCUAAAUUAUAAAGACAACAAGAAUUAGGUCCUUUUAUAAUUAACCCCUAAAUUUUCAUUUUACGCGAUUAAGCCCUUUUAUUAAAUCGGACACUUAAACGACGAAAUUAAAACACGAAAAUUUCACACAAUCAAAUGCAUACAAAACAAUAUUAAUAAUAUUUUUCUAAUUCAAAUUUGUGGUCCCGAAACCAGUAUUCUGAUUAGGGUCAAAAACCGGGUUGUUACAACUCUCCCCCCUUAGGGAUUUUCGUCCCCGAAAAUCUUACCGGUGAAUAGGUUUGGAUAACGCUCUUUCAUUGUAUCUUCUAACUCCCAAGUUGCUUCUUCAACCCCAUGUUUAUGCCACAACACUUUAACUAACGGAAUUUUCUUAUUUCGUAAUUCUUUGAUCUCACGAGCCAGAAUGCUAAUCGGUUCUUCCUCAUAUGUCAUAUCAGAGUUAAUUUCAAUCUCCGUCGGACUAAUCACAUGUGAAGGAUCAGAUCGGUAUCUACGAAGCAUCGAAACAUGGAAUACGUUAUGAAUCUUUUCUAACUCAGGCAGUAACAUCAAUCUAUAAGCAACCAAUCCAACUCGCUCUAUAAUCUCAUACGGUCCAAUGAAUCUCGGACACAAUUUGCCUUUACGACCAAAUCUGAGUAUUUUCUUCCACGGUGAGACUUUUAAAAACACUUUAUCCCCGAUCUGAAAUUCUAUAUCCUUUCUUUUCAAAUUCGCAUAAGAUUUCUGACGAUCCGAUGCUGAUUUCAGACUGUCCCGAAUCACUUUCACUUUCUGUUCGGUCUCUUUAAUCAAAUCAACCCCGUGUAUCUUAUUUUCACUGAGCUCGGUCCAAUACAGUGGUGUACGACAUUUACAACCGUACAAAGCCUCAUAAGGUGCCAUUUUGAUACUAGAUUGAAAGCUAUUAUUAUAAGCAAAUUCAAUCAAAGGUAAGUAUCGUUCCCACGUACCUUCAAACUCGAGAAUGCAACAUCUCAACAUAUCCUCAAGUAUCUGAAUGAUUCAUUCAGAUUGACCAUCUGUCUGCGGAUCGAAAGCUGUGCUAAAAUGUAGUUUCGUACCUAAAGCAUCUUGUAGUUUCUUCCAAAAUCGCGAUGUGAAUCUCAGAUCUCUGUCUGAAACAAUAGAAAUAGGUACACCAUGCAACCUCACAAUUUGUGAAAUAUACAAUUCCGCAAGUUUAUCGAGCGAAAAAUCUGUACGAAUCGAAAUAAAAUGUGUCGAUUUUGUCAACCUAUCAACAAUAACCCAGAUUGCAUCUAUCUUGCUCGGUGUCAACGGUAAAUCGGAUACAAAAUCCAUCGUGACUCGAUCCCAUUUCCAUUGAGGUAUCAUGAUCGGCUGAAGCAACCCAGAUGGUACCUGAUGCUUGGCUUUAACUUGCUGACAAAUUAAACAUUUCGAAACAAAGUCAGAAAUGUCUCGUUUCAUACCUUGCCACCAAUAGUGCUGUUUCAGAUCGUUAUACAUUUUCGUGCUACCCGGAUGAACAGAAAAUCGACUACUAUGAGCUUCCUUCAAAAUCAUCUAAAUUAACUCUGAUUUUUUCGGAACACAUAAUCGGUUUCUAAAUCUCAAACAAUCCUCAGCAUCAACUAAAAACUCCGAAUCAAUAUUUAAGUCACAUUGAGCUCGUUUUGCAGUUAAAUCAUUAUCGACCUUUUGAGCUUCACAAAUCUGUUGUACAAAUAACGGUUUUGCUUUCAACUCAGCUACUAUCGCACCAUCAUCAGACAUAACCAUAUGUGCGUUCAUUGCACGCAAAGCAAACAGUGAUUUUCGACUUAGGGCAUCAGCAACAACAUUAGCCUUUCCCGGAUGAUAGUCAAUCACAAGCUCGUAUUCUUUCAGCAAUUCUAACCAUCGACGCUGUCUCAAAUUCAGAUAUUUCUGAGUCAUCAAAUAUUUCAGGCUUUUGGGAUCGGAAUAAACAUGACAUCUUUCACCAAACAGAUAGUGACGCCAUAUUUUUAACGCAAAUACAAUAGCGGCCAAUUCCAGAUCAUGUGUCGGAUAGUUUUUUUCAUGCGGCUUUAACUGUCUCAAGGCAUAGGCUACAACUUUGCCUUCCUACAUCAAAACACAACCCAAACCAUUUAAAGAUGCAUCACUAUAGAUAACAAACUCUUUACCCGAUUCGGGUUGAACUAAGACUGGAGCUUCGGUCAAAAGAACUUUCAACUGAUCAAAGUUUUUCUGACACUUUUCUGACCACUCGAACUUAACGUCUUUUUGUAGUAGCUUUGUCAUCGGGGUCGCAAUCAUAGAAAACCCUUUCACGAACCGUCUAUAAUAACCAGCGAGCCCCAGAAAGCUUCGAACAUCAGAGACAUUUCUCGGAGGUUUCCAAUCAAGUAUAGCUGAAAUUUUACCUGGAUCAACUCGAAUACCCGAUGCUGACACAACAUGGCCCAGAAAACUAACUUCACGUAACCAGAACUCGCAUUUACUGAACUUUGCAUACAACUGUUUAUCUCGCAAAGUUUGUAACACAAGUCUCAGAUGUUCAGUAUGCUCGGUUUCAUCACGAGAGUAGAUCAAAAUAUCAUCUAUAAAUACUACCACAAAUCGAUCCAGAUACUGUCUAAAAAUCUGAUUCAUCAAAUCCAUGAAAACAGCAGGUGCAUUAGUAAGUCCAAAAGGCAUAACCAAGAACUCAUAAUGUCCGUACCUCGUUCGGAAAGCUGUCUUUGGCACAUCAGAGUCUUUAACUCGCAACUGAUAGUAGCCUGAUCUCAGAUCUAUCUUCGAAAACACAGUAGCCCCUUUCAACUGAUCGAACAAAUCAUCAAUCCGUGGUAACGGAUACUUAUUCUUUAUAGUCACCUUAUUGAGUUGCCGGUAAUCAAUGCACAUUCUCAUUGUUCUGUCUUUCUUUUUCACAAAUAGAACUGGUGCACCCCAAGGAGAGAAACUCGGUCGUGUAAAACCUUUAUCAGUCAACUCUUGCAACUGUACUUUCAAUUCUUUUAAUUCGGUCGGUACCAUACGGUACGGAGCUAUCGAAAUUGGAGUUGUCCCUGGUACUAACUCAAUACCAAACUCUACCUCUCGAAUAGGUGGCAAACCCGGUAAUUCUUCGGGAAACACGUCUGAAUACUUACACACUACUGGCACAGAUUCAAUCUUCUUUUCGGUCACUUUACUAUCAAGAAAAAAUGCAAGGUAAUCUUCACAACCUUUUCUCACAUACUUCUGAGCCGACAUCGAGGAUAUUAUUGCUGGUAAACCAUUCAGAUCAUUAGAUUCAAUCCGAAUAAUCUCAUCAUUCUGACACCGUAGAUCAAUAGUUUUCCGUUUGCAGUUUACUAUAGCAUUAUGCAGAGUUAACCAAUCCAUACCCAGAAUUAUAUCAAACUCGUCAAAUGGUAGCAACAUCAAAUCAGCCAGAAAACAUAAAUCUCGAAUCAUCAACGGACAAUUCUUGCACACUUUGUCAACCAAAACACACCGGCCCAAGAGGUUCAAUACUUUAAUUACAAACUCAGUAGACUCAACAGGCAAAGUCUUACUGAAUACUAAAGUCUCACACACAUAAGAAUGAGUCGAACCAAGAUCAAUCAAUGCAAUAACAUUAGUAUCAUAAAGAGUGAAAGUACCAGUAAUAACAUCUGGAGAAGAAGCCUCCUCCCGAGCACGGAUGGCAUAUGCUCUGGCAAGUGCACGAGCCUCAGAUCGAACUGCCAUGUCCUUUGUUCCUCUCUGACUGCCACUUACAUUACUCAAUUGCCUCGGCGGUCUACCUCGUACAGGUACUUUACUCGGUCUGGUAUUCUACACAGUGUUUUGCUCAGCUACCAUCGGACACUCUCGAAUGAAAUGAUCCUUUGAACCGCACUUAAAGCAAGACCGAUCAUGUAAUCUGCAAUCUCCAGGAUGCCAUUUCCCACAAUGCUUGUACUCUGAUCUAUUUUGUCGAACACUACCAACGCUAGCAACUGAAGUAGCUCGUGAACUCACAGGGGGUCGAUCUCGAUCAUACUUAGGAAACCCUGCAGUAGCUUUAGAUCGGCUAUGAUCCUCUCUGGAUUUCAUUGAGGUCGACUGGAAUGAUUUACUGAAUGAUCUUUUACGAGAAUCUCGAGCUUCAUAGCCAGCUUUCCUCUUCUCUUUACUGAGCUCCUUAACUUUACAAGGUCGUUCAACAAGUACUACGAACUCUUUUAUCUCAAGUAUACCAAAUAACAGUUUAAUAUCUUCAUCCAGCCCAUCUUCAAAUCUUUUACACAUGAUAGCUUCAGUCGAAAUACAUUCUCGAGCAUAUCUACUGAGUCUCACAAAUUUCCGCUCAUAUUCUAUCACUGUCAUACGACCCUGUUUCAAUUCAAGAAAUUCCUUAUGCUUCUGAUCAAUGAAUCUUUGGCUGAUGUAUUUCUUACAGAACUCAAUCUGAAAGAAUUCCCAGGUCACUCGCUCUUUCGGAACCACCGAUACUAGUGUAUUCCACCAGUGAUAUGCAGUGUCCCGUAGCAAAGAUAUGGCACAUUUCAAGUACUCAUCAGGGGUGCAAGAUAACUCAUCAAACACUCGAAUAGUAUUAUCAAGCCAGAAUUCAGCUUGCUCAGCAUCAUCAUCAUCAGUAGCUCUGAACUCUUCGACCCCGUGUUUUCAAAUUUAGUCAACAGGAGGCUUAAGUAAUCUCAUCGGAUCACUUACUUGAGGUAUAAUAGGAAUCGAAGGUGGAUUAGUCGGGGGUGGAGUUUGUUGUGCAACCGGAUUAGUUCGGACAUAUUGAGUAAACCAGUCAUUCAUCAUUUGGUAGAAGGCUUGUUUAGCCUCUCCCUCCUGGUUACUCGAGGUCGGUCGAGAAUCUACCAGCUCUGUCCCUUGUGUGGGAGCAGGCGCUAUACUCUCAACAUCAUCGACUACGGCUGGAUCGGGAUCCAUUACUAUACGAAAACACAUUUUUAGACAUCAGCAGUCAUCGCACUAUCUUGGUAUAAAAAUAUGGCAUGUAUAGCUAGACUCAUACAUGCUACAUUAGUCCAAGAAUCGAUUAAACCGUAGCUCUGAUACCAAUAAAAUGUAACACCCCUAACCCGUAUCCGUCGCCGAAUUAGGGUUACGAGGCAUUACUGAACAAAUACAACCAUUUUUAAAACCAACUGAUCACAAACAUGAAAAUUAAAUCAUUUUCACAUAGCUAUUUAUAAUUUACAAUCAACAUCUAACCAACAUCGUACUCAAACCUAUACAUGCCAUAAGAUCAAGUUCAAAUAUUUAACAAAAUACCAAAAGGGGUCGAAAGUGUGAUAGACUAUGCUGAUGAUCCCCGAGCUCGUAACGCAUCUCCAAAAUCUAUAAAAACAAAUGGACAAAAACAAUCAAAGUAAGCUUUUAUAGCUUAGUAAGUCUAUAGCAUAUCUAAAAUACAUAUAAAAGAAUCAUAUAAUUCUUAAAAUAAAUUUAUUGAAAUCACAAUUAUCAAUUAUAAUUACUAAUCGAACAUUGCUAUAUUAAGUCAUCUUGUUUAAAUCUAAAAGGAUGUGUAUUUAUCUAAUACACAUGAACGGACAAAUGUAUAUACAUUAUAUGCAUAUAAUCAAUUUACUAACAUAAUCAUUAAUUGCAUAUACGGAUUUCUAUAGUACUUAUUGUUCGCACUUAAUCGGAUCCAUUUAAAUAUAAUUGUUCAAAUACAUAUACCAAAAGCAUAAUAAUUUUAUACUUGAUCAACUAUAAGUGCCGAAUGCACAUAUACACCUAUACCCACCUAUGCCGAAUGCAUACAUAUAUACACAUAUAUAUAUAUCCAACAAUUUCGUGACAACCGAUAUAUAUAUACAUACUCACUAUUCACAAGGACUCGAACGAUUAUAUACUCAUCAACCACCUUAAAACAAUGUUCAUAAACUUAUCCAUUUCAUAUAAACAAAAGCAUAUAUAUUUAUACCCAAUGCAUAGAAUCACUUAAUUUAAACAGAUUCACUAGCACUUCACCUGAUAGGCUUAUAGUUUAAUUCAGUUCACCGGUACUUAGCCUACUAGGCUUGUAGCCUGAUUCAGUUCACCGGCACUUAGCCUGCUAGACGUAUAGUCCGAUUCAAUUCACCGGCAUUUAGCCUGCUAGACGUAUAGUCCGAUUCAAUUUAUCGGCACUUAGCCUGCUAGAUGUAUAGUCUGAAUAAUUUUACUGGUAAUAAAUCCGAUAGUCAUUUCUCCGUUGAAAUUGAAUUAUAUUCAAUUCUGCGUAACAAACAUGCACUUAAAACAUACUUGCAUAAUUCACAACAAUAAUUUCAGUCCAAAGAGCUGUAAUUCAUAUUCGAACUAUAUAUAUAAAUCCAUACAUAAAAAUUCAGCUCAAAAUUUAUAACCUAUAUCUUUGAACCACAUAGGUACAUGAAAUUCAAACAACAAAAUCCAGCUCAAUAACUUCAUGAUUCAACCUAACAAAUUUAUGUAUAUAACUUUUUAUCUAAUUUCAAUACAAUAACUUAUACAUGUACGUAUAUACAUAUUCGAAUCUAACAUAUACAUAUAUAAUUUCAUACUUAAAUAUAUUCAAGACUUAUUCAUGAGUAUACAUAUAUAUUACAACUCACAUGUACAUAUAUAUACACAUUCAUACCUUUAACCAAGUCCAAGGCUUUAUACAUGUAUAUGCUUAUAUAUAUAUAUAUUCGGACCUUAUGUUUACAUAUAUAUUAUAUAUAAAUACCUUUGAUUAAAAACAAGUAUUUAUACAUAUAUAUAUUUUUGAACAUGAUACAUAUAUAUAUUUAUAUCAUUCAUACUUAAACAAAAUUCAAUCCAUAUACUUUCAAUUUCAGCUCACCAAAUUACUAUAGAUAUACAUGCAUAUAUACUGAUUUAAUAACCUCAAAUUGCUAAUAGACUUACCUCGGAUAUCAGCGGACACGAUCGACUAUUCGAUUACUUUCGUUUUUCCCCGAUCCAAAUUCGUUUUCUUCGUUUUUUUAUCUUAAUUAGACCUAGAGAUAGCCGAACCUUGUUGUUCUCUUUUCUUUUCUUUUCUUUUUCUUUUCUAUAUUCGGCCAAGAUGAAGAACAUGGCAUUUAAAAUUUGUUAUAUUAAACAUAUAUUAGCCUUAUUUUUAAUUUACUAUAUUAACCUUUACAUAUAUAUAUAACAUAUAUAAUAAGGUUACAUUAGUCCUUUGCCACCCACUAACUUACAUAGUGGACUAAUUGCAUAGUAAAACCUCUAAAUUAUAAAGACAACAACAAUUAGGUGCUUUUAUAAUUAACCCCUAAAUUUUCAUUUUACGCGAUUAAGCCCUUUUAUUAAAUCGGACACUUAAACGACGAAAUUAAAACACGAAAAUUUCACACAAUCAAAUGCAUACAAAAUAAUAUUAAUAAUAUUUUUCUAAUUCAAAUUUGUGGUCCCGAAACCAGUAUUCUGAUUAGGGUCAAAAACCGGGUUGUUACAACUCUCCCCCCUUAGAGAUUUUCGUCCCCGAAAAUCUUACCGGUGAAUAGGUUUGGAUAACGCUCUUUCAUUGUAUCUUCUGACUCCCAAGUUGCUUCUUCAACCCCAUGUUUAUGCCACAACACUUUAACUAACGGAAUUUUCUUAUUUCGUAAUUCUUUGAUCUCACGAGCAAGAAUGCUAAUCGGUUCUUCCUCAUAUGUCAUAUCAGAGUUAAUUUCAAUCUCCGUCGGACUAAUCACAUGUGAAGGAUCAGAUCGGUAUCUACGGAGCAUCGAAACAUGGAAUACGUUAUGAAUCUUUUCUAACUCAGGCAGUAACAUCAAUCUAUAAGCAACCAAUCCAACUCGCUCUAUAAUCUCAUACGGUCCAAUUAAUCUCGGACACAAUUUGCCUUUACGACCAAAUCUGAGUAUUUUCUUCCACGGUGAGACUUUUAACUUGCUCGGUGUCAACGGUAAAUCGGAUACAAAAUCCAUCGUGACUCGAUCCCAUUUCCAUUGAGGUAUCAUGAUCGGCUGAAGCAAUCCAGAUGGUACCUGAUGCUCGGCUUUAACUUGCUGACAAAUUAAACAUUUCGAAACAAAGUCAGAAAUGUCUCGUUUCAUACCUUGCCACCAAUAGUGCUGUUUUAGAUCGUUAUACAUUUUCGUGCUACCCGGAUGAACAGAAAAUCGAAUACUAUGAGCUUCCUUCAAAAUCAUCUGAAUUAACUCUGAAUUUUUCGGAACACAUAAUCGGUUUCUAAAUCUCAAACAAUCCUCAGCAUCAACUAAAAACUCCGAAUCAAUAUUUAAGUCACAUUGAGCUCGUUUUGCAGUUAAAUCAUUAUCAACCUUUUGAGCUUCACAAAUCUGUUGUACAAAUAACAGUUUUGCUUUCAACUCAGCUACUAUCGCACCAUCAUCAGACAUAACCAUAUGUGCGUUCAUUGCACGCAAAGCAAACAGUGAUUUUCGACUUAGGGCAUCAGCAACAACAUUAGCCUUUCCCGGAUGAUAGUCAAUCACAAGCUCGUAAUCUUUCAGCAAUUCUAACCAUCGACGCUGUCUCAAAUUCAGAUAUUUCUGAGUCAUCAAAUAUUUCAGGCUUUUGGGAUCGGAAUAAACAUGACAUCUUUCGCCAAACAGAUAGUGACGCCAUAUUUUUAACGCAAAUACAAUAGCGGCCAAUUCCAGAUCAUGCGUCGGAUAGUUUUUUUCAUGCGGCUUUAACUGUCUCAAGGCAUAGGCUACAACUUUGCCUUCCUACAUCAAAACACAACCCAAACCAUUUAAAGAUGCAUCACUAUAGAUAACAAACUCUUUACCCGAUUCGGGUUGAACUAGGACUGGAGCUUCGGUCAAAAGAACUUUCAACUGAUCAAAGUUUUUCUGACACUUUUCUGACCACUCGAACUUAACGUCUUUUUGUAGUAGCUUUGUCAUCGGGGUCGCAAUCAUAGAAAACCCUUUCACGAACCGUCUAUAAUAACCAGCGAGCCCCAGAAAGCUUCGAACAUCAGAGACAUUUCUCGGAGGUUUCCAAUCAAGUAUAGCUGAAAUUUUACUUGGAUCAACCUGAAUACCCGAUGCUGACACAACAUGGCCCAGAAAACUAACUUCACGUAACCAGAACUCGAAUUUACUGAACUUUGCAUACAACUGUUUAUCUCGCAAAGUUUGUAACACAAGUCUCAGAUGUUCAGUAUGCUCGGUUUCAUCACGAGAGUAGAUCAAAAUAUCAUCUAUAAAUACUACCACAAACAGAUCCAGAUACUGUCUAAAAAUCUGAUUCAUCAAAUCCAUGAAAACAGCAGGUGCAUUAGUAAGUCCAAAAGGCAUAACCAAGAACUCAUAAUGUCCGUACCUCGUUCGGAAAGCAGUCUUUGGCACAUCAGAGUCUUUAACUCGCAACUGAUAGUAGCCUGAUCUCAGAUCUAUCUUCGAAAACACAGUAGCCCCUUUCAACUGAUCGAACAAAUCAUCAAUCCGUGGUAACGGAUACUUAUUCUUUAUAGUCACCUUAUUGAGUUGCCGGUAAUCAAUGCACAUUCUCAUUGUUCCGUCUUUCUUUUUCACAAAUAGAACUGGUGCACCCCAAGGAGAGAAACUCGGUCGUGCAAAACCUUUAUCAGUCAACUCUUGCAACUGUACUUUCAAUUCUUUUAAUUCAGUCGGUGCCAUACGGUACGGAGCUAUCGAAAUUGGAGUUGUCCCUGGUACUAACUCAAUACCAAACUCUACCUCUCGAAUAGGUGGCAAACCCGGUAAUUCUUCGGGAAACACGUCUGAAUACUUACACACUACUGGCACAGAUUCAAUCUUCUUUUCGAUCACUUUACUAUCAAGAAAAAAUGCAAGGUAAUCUUCACAACCUUUUCUCACAUACUUUUUUGCCGACAUCGAGGAUAUUAUUGCUGGUAAACCAUUCAGAUCAUUAGAUUCAAUCCGAAUAAUCUCAUCAUUCUGACACCGUAGAUCAAUAGUUUUCCGUUUGCAGUUUACUAUAGCAUCAUGCAGAGUUAACCAAUCCAUACCCAGAAUUAUAUCAAACUCGUCAAAUGGUAGCAACAUCAAAUCAGCCAGAAAACAUAAAUCUCGAAUCAUCAACGGACAAUUCUUGCAUAUUUUGUCAACCAAAACACACCGGCCCAGGGGGUUCAAUACUUUAAUUACAAACUCAGUAGACUCAACAGGCAAAGUCUUACUGAAUACUAAAGUCUCACACACAUAAGAAUGAGUCGAACCAAGAUCAAUCAAUGCAAUAACAUUAGUAUCAUAAAGAGGGAAAGUACCAGUAAUAACAUCUGGAGAAGAAGCCUCCUCUUGAGCACGGAUGGCAUAUGCUCUGGCAAGUGCACGAGCCUCAGAUCGAACUGCCAUGUCCUUUGUUCCUCUCUGACUGCCACUUACAUUACUCAAUUGCCUCGGUGGUCUACCUCGUACUGGCACUUUACUCGGUCUGGUAUUCUGCACAGUGUUUUGCUCAGCUACCAUCGGACACUCUCGAAUGAAAUGAUCCUUUGAACCGCACUUAAAGCAAGACCGAUCAUGUAAUCUGCAAUCUCCAGGAUGCCAUUUCCCACAAUACUUGUACUCUGAUCUAUUUUGUCGAACACUACCAACGCUAGCAACUGAAGUAGCUCGUGAACUCACAGGGGGUCGAUCUCGAUCAUACUUAGGAAACCCUGCAGUAGCUUUAGAUCGGCUAUGAUCCUCUCUGGAUUUCAUUGAGGUCGACUGGAAUGAUUUACUGAAUAAUCUUUUACGAGAAUCUCGAGCUUCAUAGCCAGCUUUCCUCUUCUCUUUCCCGAGCUCCUCAACUUUACAAGGUCGUUCAACAAGUACUACGAACUCUUUUAUCUCAAGUAUACCAAAUAACAGUUUAAUAUCUUCAUCCAGCCCAUCUUCAAAUCUUUUACACAUGAUAGCUUCAGUCGAAAUACAUUCUCGAGCAUAUCUACUGAGUCUCACAAAUUUCCGCUCAUAUUCUAUCACUGUCAUACGACCCUGUUUCAAUUUAAGAAAUUACUUACGCUUCUGAUCAAUGAAUCUUUGGCUGAUGUAUUUCUUACAGAACUCAAUCUGAAAGAAUUCCCAGGUCACUCGCUCUUUCGGAACCACCGAUACUAGUGUAUUCCACCAGUGAUAUGCAGUGUCCCGUGGCAAAGAUAUGGCACAUUUCAAGUACUCAUCAGGGGUGCAAGAUAACUCAUCAAACACUCGAAUAGUAUUAUCAAGCCAGAAUUCAUCUCGCUCAGCAUCAUCAUCAUCAGUAGCUCUGAACUCUUCGACCCCGUGUUUUUGAAUUUUGUCAAUAGGAGGCUUAAGUAAUCUCAUCGGAUCACUUACUUGAGGUAUAACAGGAAUCGAAGGUGGAUUAGUCGGGGGUGGAGUUUGUUGUGCAACCGGAUUAGUUCGGACAUAUUGAGUAAACCAGUCAUUCAUCAUUUGGUAGAAGGCUUGUUUAGCCUCUCCCUCCUGGUUACUCGAGGUCGGUCGAGAAUCUACCGGCUCUGUCCCUUGUGUGGGAGCAGGCGCUAUACCCUCAACAUCAUCGACUACGGCUCGAUCGGGAUCCAUUACUAUACGAAAACACAUUUUUAGACAUCAGCAGUCAUCACACUAUCUUGGUAUAAAAAUAUGGCAUGUAUAGCUAGACUCAUACAUGCUACAUUAGUCCAAGAAUCGAUUAAACCGUAGCUCUGAUACCAAUAAAAUGUAACACCCCUAACCCGUAUCCGUCGCCGAAUUAGGGUUACGAGGCAUUACUGAACAAAUACAACCAUUUUUAAAACCAACUGAUCACAAACAUGAAAAUUAAAUCAUUUUCACAUAGCUAUUUAUAAUUUACAAUCAACAUCUAACCAACAUCGUACUCAAACCUAUACAUGCCAUAAGAUCAAGUUCAAAUAUUUAACAAAAUACCAAAAGGGGUCAAAAGUGUGAUAGACUAUGCUGAUGAUCCCCGAGCUCGUAACGCGUCUCCAAAAUCUAUAAAAACAAAUGGACAAAAACAAUCAAAGUAAGCUUUUAUAGCUUAGUAAGUCUAUAGCAUAUCUAAAAUACAUAUAAAAGAAUCAUAUAAUUCUUAAAAUAAAUUUAUUGAAAUCACAAUUAUCAAUUAUAAUUACUAAUCGAACAUUGCUAUAUUAAGUCAUCUUGUUUAAAUCUAAAAGGAUGUGUAUUUAUCUAAUACACAUGAACGGACAAAUGUAUAUACAUUAUAUGCAUAUAAUCAAUUUACUAACAUAAUCAUUAAUUGCAUAUACGGAUUUCUAUAGUACUUAUUGUUCGCACUUCAUCGGAUCCAUUUAAAUAUAAUUGUUCAAAUACAUAUACCAAAAGCAUAAUAAUUUUAUACUUGAUCAACUAUAAGUGCCGAAUGCACAUAUACACCUAUACCCACCUAUGCCGAAUGCAUACAUAUAUACACAUAUAUAUAUAUCCAACAAUUUCAUGACAACCGAUAUAUAUAUACAUACUCACUAUUCACAAGGACUCGAACGAUUAUAUACUCAUCAACCACCUUAAAACAAUGUUCAUAAACUUAUCCAUUUCAUAUAAACAAAAGCAUAUAUAUUUAUACCCAAUGCAUAGAAUCACUUAAUUUAAACAGAUUCACUGGCACUUCACCUGAUAGGCUUAUAGUUUAAUUCAGUUCACCGGCACUUAGCCUACUAGGCUUGUAGCCUGAUUCAGUUCACCGGCACUUAGCCUGCUAGACGUAUAGUCCGAUUCAAUUCACCGGCAUUUAGCCUGCUAGACGUAUAGUCCGAUUCAAUUUACCGGCACUUAGCCUGCUAGAUGUAUAGUCUGAAUAAUUUUACUGGUAAUAAAUCCGAUAGUCAUUUCUCCGUUGAAAUUGAAUUAUAUUCAAUUCUGCGUAACAAACAUGCACUUAAAACAUACUUGCAUAAUUCACAACAAUAAUUUCAGUCCAAAGAGCUGUAAUUCAUAUUCGAACUAUAUAUAUAUAAAUCCAUACAUAAAAAUUCAGCUCAAAAUUUAUAACCUAUAUCUUUGAACCACAUAGGUACAUGAAAUUCAAACAACAAAAUCCAGCUCAAUAACUUCAUGAUUCAACCUAACAAAUUUAUGUAUAUAACUUUUUAUCUAAUUUCAAUACAAUAACUUAUACAUGUACGUAUAUACAUAUUUGAAUCUAACAUAUACAUAUAUAAUUUCAUACUUAAAUAUAUUCAAGACUUAUUCAUGAGUAUACAUAUAUAUUACAACUCACAUGUACAUAUAUAUACACAUUCAUACCUUUAACCAAGUCCAAGGCUUUAUACAUGUAUAUGCUUAUAUAUAUAUAUAUUCGGACCUUAUGUUUACAUAUAUAUUAUAUAUAAAUACCUUUGAUUAAAAACAAGUAUUUAUACAUAUAUAUAUUUUCGAACAUGAUACAUACAUAUAUUUAUAUCAUUCAUACUUAAACAAAAUUCAAUCCAUAUACUUUCAAUUUCAGCUCACCAAAUUACUAUAGAUAUACAUGCAUAUAUACUGAUUUAAUAACCUCAAAUUGCUAAUAGACUUACCUCGGAUAUCAGCGGACACGAUCGACUAUUCGAUUACUUUCGUUUUUCCCCGAUCCAAAUUCGUUUUCUUCGUUUUUUUAUCUUAAUUAGACCUAGAGAUAGCCGAACCUUGUUGUUCUCUUUUCUUUUCUUUUCUUUUUCUUUUCUAUAUUCGGCCAAGAUGAAGAACAUGGCAUUUAAAAUUUGUUAUAUUAAACAUAUAUUAGCCUUAUUUUUAAUUUACUAUAUUAACCUUUACAUAUAUAUAACAUAUAUAAUAAGGUUACAUUAGUCCUUUGCCACCCACUAACUUACAUAGUGGACUAAUUGCAUAGUAAAACCUCUAAAUUAUAAAGACAACAACAAUUAGGUGCUUUUAUAAUUAACCCCUAAAUUUUCAUUUUACGCGAUUAAGCCCUUUUAUUAAAUCGGACACUUAAACAACGAAAUUAAAACACGAAAAUUUCACACAAUCAAAUGCAUACAAAAUAAUAUUAAUAAUAUUUUUCUAAUUCAAAUUUGUGGUCCCGAAACCAGUAUUCUGAUUAGGGUCAAAAACUGGGUUGUUACAACUCUCCCCCCUUAGGGAUUUUCGUCCCCGAAAAUCUUACCGGUGAAUAGGUUUGGAUAACGCUCUUUCAUUGUAUCUUCUGACUCCCAAGUUGCUUCUUCAACCCCAUGUUUAUGCCACAACACUUUAACUAACGGAAUUUUCUUAUUUCGUAAUUCUUUGAUCUCACGAGCCAGAAUGCUAAUCGGUUCUUCCUCAUAUGUCAUAUCAGAGUUAAUUUCAAUCUCCGUCGGACUAAUCACAUGUGAAGGAUCAGAUCGGUAUCCACAGAGCAUUGAAACAUGGAAUACGUUAUGAAUCUUUUCUAACUCAGGCAGUAACAUCAAUCUAUAACCAACCGAUCCAACUCGCUCUAUAAUCUCAUACGGUCCAAUGAAUCUCGGACUCAAUUUGCCUUUACGACCAAAUCUGAGUAUUUUCUUCCACGGUGAGACUUUUAAAAACACUUUAUCCCCGAUCUGAAAUUCUAUAUCCUUUCUUUUCAAAUCCGCAUAAGAUUUCUGACGAUCCGGUGCUGAUUUCAGACUGUCCCGAAUCACUUUCACUUUCUGUUCGGUCUCUUUAAUCAAAUCAACCCCGUGUAUCUUAUUUUCACUGAGCUCAGUCCAAUACAGUGGUGUACGACAUUUACGACCGUACAAAGCCUCAUAAGGUGCCAUUUUGAUACUAGAUUGAAAGCUAUUAUUAUAAGCAAAUUCAAUCAAAGGUAAGUAUCGUUCCCACGUACCUUCAAACUCGAGAAUGCAACAUCUCAACAUAUCCUCAAGUAUCUGAAUGAUUCGUUCAGAUUGACCAUCUGUCUGCGGAUGGAAAGCUGUGCUAAAAUGUAGUUUCGUACCUAAAGCUGUGCUAAAAUGCACACAAAAUAAACACACAAAAUAAUAUUAAUAAUAUUUUUCUAAUUCGGAUUUGUGGUCCCGAAACCACUAUUCCGAUUAGGGUCAAAAACCGGGUUGUUACAAUUCUGCUUCUUCUGCAUCAUCAUCUUUGGUAGCUCGAAAUUCUUCAGCCCCUUACUUCCUAAUCUUAUCAACAGGUGGUCUCUCACUGAUGACUAUACCUGCAGCUAGGGAAACUACAUGAGGAACCUGUGAAUCCUGAAGGGGUGGAGGUCUUACACCCGGAUUCAUACGAACGAACUCGGCAAACCAAUCAUUCAUGGCUUGGAAGAAGGCUUCUCUAGCUCCUCCUCCCUGUCUAACUGAUGCAGGUCUUUCACUAACGUUAACAUCUAGUGGCACCGUCCUUUCUGCGGAAGUAGGCGCAUUACUCUCUACUUCAUCUGCACCAGCUCGUUCAGGAUCCGUAACUAUAAAAUAAAAUAUUUUAAAAUCGUCAAGAGUCGUCACACUAUCAAAAUAUAUAAGUAUGGCAUGUAUAGGUAGACUUUUAUUCAUACUGCAUAUUUCUGAGAACCGAUUAAACCUGCUCUGAUACCAACAAAUGUAACACCCCUUACCCAAGACCAUUUUCGGAGUCGAGCACGAGGCAUUACUUAUCUUAUCUUACUAACUCGAAGCAUAAAAACUUAUUUUAAAAAUUAAUUUCACUAUUUACAGCAAUCUGUCCAAUCGAGCAGCAGUUACUAAAUUAAUAAUAACUCGAGCUACGGAACUUGAAAUUUAACUUCGUAAAUUUUCACUGAAACUAGACUCAUAUAUCUUCCUACCAUAAAGUUUUUAGGAUUUUUUGUUUAGCCAACUAGUACAGUUUAUUAGUCAAAUUCUCCCCUGUUUCACCAAUCGAUUGCCUUGACCUCUUAUCACUAAAAAUAAAAUUUCUCAAUGUGGGAUUUUCGUAUAGUGCUACUGCUUGCUUCUACAAAAAAUAGACUCAAUAAGGAAUCUAUAAAUAUAAACUACAGCUCCUAAAUAUUUUUUUAAAAAUUUUAAUGAUUUUCUAAACUCAAAAUAGGGGUCACCAAAAACUGUUCUAACCCUGUCUCACCAAAAUUCACAUAUCUUAAAAUAUAAAAUUCAUUUUGCUACACCGUUAUUUUUAUCUGAAAAUAGACUCAACAAGAUUUAAAUUCAUAUAUCAUUCACUCUUUAAUUCAUUUUAUACUAUCCUAGGUGAUAUUUCAAAGUCACGUCGUUGUUGCUGCCUGAAUUCUGUUUCUUUGCAAAAUUGUACCAUUUUAUGAUUUCCAUGCAUAGUUUAUCACUUACACUCUUAUAACAACAAACACUUCCAUACUUCACCAUUUUAGCAACCAUUCAUCAUCAACUACUUACAUAUCAUUCUUUAUCAAGAUCAUAAAUACAAACAUUUAAAAUAACUAAAUCCCUAUACAUUCCAUACUCAACAUGGUUCAACAUAAAAAUACCGAGUUGCUGUGGCUGAUAGUGUGGACGAUCUCCGACUUCUUUAGGAUCCUUGAAGUAACCUUGCAAUACUAUAAGAGAAAGAGAAAUAAAAGACGUAAGCAUAAAGCUUAGUAAGUUUACUAGCAAAUAAAUAACAAUAUUUAACUCAGAUAAUUAAACUCAAGUGUCUAUAUCUCUAGUUUACUCUUUAGUUAAUCCCAUUCUAGUUCUCUUGCUUGUUUACUUAGUAUACUUGUGUGCAUAACUUAAUCUUCUCUUGCUGUAUCGUUGAAUAUCAAUUGAUAAUAUAAUAAGUUCUUAACUCUUAUAACUUACCUGAACUUGCCAUUUAUGUUUUUAACUGAACUUUCCUGAACAUGAUUCGUUAUUUAGCCCGUUGAGCUACAUUGGAACAAUAAGGAUACUCGGGUCUCUUCUGAUAAUAACAUGCCAAAGCCAUGUCCCAGACAUGGUCUUACAUGGGAUGUACUCAUGUCGGUGCCCAUUCCAUGUCCCAGACAUGGUCUUACGGGGGACCUCUCAUCUCGGUGCCAAUGUCAUGUCUCAGACAUGGUCUUACAUGGGACCUCUCAUCUCGGUGCCAACACCAUGUCCCAGACAUUGUCUUACAUGGGACCUCUCAUUUCGGUGCCAACGCCAUGUCCCAGACAUGGUCUUACAUGGGACCUCUUUAUCCAAAUGUCAUGACAUUCGUAUCCAGUAUUAUCCUUAUGUAUCAACGGGACUUUUUAAUUUUAAUUCUCUAUCAUUUCAUGCUUGGAUAAUCAUCAAAUAAAUUCAUGAAAUAAAUUCAUAGUUGCUGGAAAAUAGCAGCAUUAAUAAAAAUUAUUGAAAUAUUUCAUUUAUUUACCGUAAACUUACCUUGGUACCGAAUAUAGCCCAAUUCACCAACUUAGUCUUCAACUUUAUUCUUUCCUUUGUCUAACCUCGAGUUUCAUUCUUCUUGAUCUAAAAUAGAAAAUUUAACUUAUUUAAUACUCACAUUCAUCAAAACAGCCCUCGACUCUAACUUUUCAAAAUUAUGAUUUUGCCCCUAAACUUUUACAUAAUUACAUUUUUCCCCAAGGCUCGAAAAUUCAACUUCAUCUCAUAUUCUUAUGUUUUAUGGCAUGCUGAAUAUUUUUCUCUUCUAUGACAAUAUCAAAUUCUCACUCUAACACUUACUUAUGUACAUUAGAGAUUUUUACCGAUUAUGUCAACUUACUCGUUUUUGCUUAAAAUCGGCUAACAAAAGUUGUUUAACAUAAUUUAUAGCUUCAUAUUCUAUCAUAAAACAUCAAAAUAAACACUUUUCACCUAUGGGUAUUUUUCCAAAUAUAAACCCUAGGUUAAAUUAUUGCUAGAAUAAGCUAAAUUAAGUUACCGGGACUCCAAAAACGUAAGGAACAUUAAAAACGGGGCUUGGGAUCACUUACUAUGGAGCUUGGAAGCUUGAAAACCCUAAAUAUGGCUUACCCCCUUGCUGAUUUCGUCCAAAUGAAGAAGAUGAGCAUAAUUUGUCAUCUUUUUCCCUUUUAAUUCAUUUUAAUUACUAGAUUACCAAAUUGCCCCUAACUUAAAAAUUUCCUAUUUCACUUAUCUCAUGUCCAUUUUUGUCUAAAAACUUAACCAAUGGUCUAAUUACCAUAUAAAGACCUCCAAUUUAAAGUUUCAUAACAAUUGGACACCUCUAACAUGUAGAACUCAACUUUUGCACUUUUUGCAAUUUAGUACUUUUGACUAAAUUGAGUGCCCAAACUUCAAAAUUUUCGAAUAAAAUUUUCAUGAAAUCAUUUUGUGAAAUCAUAGACCAUAAAAAUAUAAGAAAAAUAAAAUUUUCCUCAUCGGAUUUGUGAUCCCGAAACCACUGUUCCGAUAAUCUUAAAUUUGGGCCAUUACAUGAUCACCUUUUUACUAGCUCAUACAUCUCCUACAUCAGACCUUACAUGCAUGCUUACCAAACUUUAUUCUUUUUAACAAAACUUUAUACAUAUCAUCGUAGCACAUCUUUCAUCUUUACUAAACUCAUAUUUUUACCAAUUUCUGUAGACAUCAUCAUCAUCAUCCUAUAUAUAUGCUUCUUGUUUGAACAGUUCAUAUCAAAGAGUCAAGAUAGAGACCCACUUGACACUCACCUACUGCAGUUCAAAGCUCUAAACUUAACCAUCCUUCUCAAACCAGCAGUAAAAACUGCUUAUAGAACAUAGAAUCACCAUUAAAAACCCAUUUACAUACAAAUUACUAUCAUCUUAAUCACUUUUCCACUGUUAAUUUAUAAAUAAGUGUUAAGUAGUAAAUAAAUAAAAAAAUUAACUAAGUUUUCAAAAAAAAAGUCACUGUGACGAGAAGAAUGUUAAAAUUAAUUGGUGUUUGUUAACUCAUAUGUUUUUCUAAAAAUGGGUUAAGUUUUCUUCUGAAAUAAACAAAUGUUUUAAAAUGAUUGUUUUAUAAACUCCGAUCGUACUAUCCCAUCUUGGUGGCUGAUGUAAUAUCCCAAAUUCAGGUCUAACAUCUAAGUCGGGUUGGAUAGGUUACAAUAUAUAUAGAAAGAUUGAUAAAUAAUGCAAACUUGAAUACAAGCAAAGAAAGAAAUCAAUCAAUGUGAAUGACUAACAAGUUUAAAAUCAUAUAUUUGCAUUAUAUUUUGUAAAGCACAAGAUUGUCAUGGAAUUAGACAAUUUGUUUUGAUAAUGGUUAUAUUUUAUAUAGAUUUACUUUUAUGCACUUUCAUAUUGAGUUGAUCAAAAGUUUUGAAACUUUAUAGAAAAUUUGAAUGAAAGAGCAUAUUGAUAUAUAUGCUAUCUUGAGUGUUGAAUUAAGCAUUCUUUAGUAAAAGAGUGUACAUUUCGCACAUGGUAGGUGUGUUGGUUUCUUAUAUAUUAAUUAAGCACAAAUUAAAGAAAAAUAAUAUAUAUCACCAUAGUGUUGUAAUAUUUUGUAUAAUUUGUGAAAUUAUACAAGCAAAUAAGUUUACCUAUCUUGUUAAAUAAAACUCAUUAAGUUGGUUCUUAAUCUUGAAGAAUUAAAUAGGUUGGCUUCUUUAUUCAUUUUAUCCAACUACAAGUUAGAUUAAAGUUGUGGAAAUAGAAUGGUUGAAAAUUUGUGUUAAUGAGAAUUAGAGUUAUGGCCACAACUGAUGCCAACUAUUUCCUAAAAACAGGGAAUGAUGUCCAAAAACAUGCUGUAAAAUAAAAAUUUGGACAUGUUAGAAUAUGAAUUUAUUAUAUUAUAGUUUCAAUGUAAUACCCUUAUCCCAUCUCUGUUGCCGGAUUAGGAUUUCAGAGUAUUACUGAGAAAAAUAGAACAUUUAACUUUCCAACAGAAACAAUUGUACAAUUAAAUACCAACAUAUAACAAUUGAAUCUAAUCAUGGCAAAUAUUACACUUUUGGACCUUGAAUCGAGCCUAUGGGGCCCUAGAAACAGUUUAGGAACAAUCUGGGAUCAAAUCAAAACAAAUCAGAACAUUUUGAAAAAACAUAAAAAUUUAGGAAUACAGAGGUCACAGGCCAUAUGGCCAAGUCGUGUGACAUAGCCUAGAUUGUGUAAACAUCCGAAGUCAGGACACAUAGCUGUGUCCCAGCCUGUGUGUCUACUCAUGUGUAUAUUUGAAAUAGGGUCACACAGUCGUGUUGCAGACUGCCAAACGUGUGUGUAUUCAAAGUGAGGUCGCAAGACCAUGUGGCCGACCGUGCCACAAACUGUUUUGAGACACAAGGUCAUGUCUCAGACCGUGUAAAACAUGCACUUAAAAUAAUAAAUACACACGACCGUAUCUAGUGACUAUGUGUGGCACAUGGUCGUGUGGUAGCUUGUGUCUCAGGUCGUGUGCUCCAUUUUUAACCCCUAAAUCAAGCCAAUCAAGCAUCAUUUCUUAUACAACAAGACAUACCAUAUCUAACUAAUUUUACAUGGUUAAAAACACAUUCAAAUCAACAAAUACAUGCCAAAAUUUCGUUCAUCCUAUGUCUAACCAAUAUGCCAUCAAAAGGCACCUCAAUCCAUACAUCCAUUCAACUCAAGAACAAAGUUACAAUAAAUGAACAAGUUUUAUCAUUAGUUAACCAUUCAUGCCUAAAACCACUAAUCUAAUUGACCAAAAUAUGGGCAUACUCAACAAGCAACCAUUUCAAAACAUCAUCAUCAAAUCUUUAUAUACCAUUUAUGAUCAACUUAAUUAUAUUCAACACAAGUACACAUCCAAAAUCAAGCACAUCACUAAGUAUGCCAAAAUAACUUAACUAUUUACAUAUCAACAAUAAGACACCAUAUCCCAAAAUGAAAUAAAAAAGCUACCAAGAUGGUUGGAUAGUGUGUGCUCCAAAACAAUUCAUCCGGUUAGUCCACAAAACGCCAAAUCAACCAAUAUAGAUAAACAAAAAGGUAAGUUCUAAUUCUUGAUAUUCAAAUGCAAGAUCACACCACAUUAGUAUAUAUUUAUUUACAUCAUAAAUGAUACCUUCCAAAAUUCAUAACCAAUUCAUCAUCCACAAUUUCUCAAUACAACCAUUAAUAUUUAUAAACAAGAACUUCAUAGUAACAUUUAUCAUUUAGUAGUAAUAUAAUUAUCCAACAAAAUUGAACAAAUAAAUGCGUUUUAAGUCAUUUGAUACAUAGCCUGCUGAACUAUAGUAACUUGACUCGGAUACUCAUGAUACUACAUCACACCAAAGGUAUCAAUGAUGCAUAACAGAGGCACCGAAGUGCAGACAAAUGCAUGAAUGUGCAAUCAGAGGCACCGAAGUGAAAACAGAUGCACCAAAGUACAAACCCGUACGAGUGCGCAUUAAAACCCUAUUGGCAUGCUAAUCGUAUCCUAAUUGUUUACUACGUUCAACUGGGCAUUAUACUUAAAAUCAUAAUAUCAAUAAAUCCAUCAUUUAGAGGCACUUCUUAUUUCCGUACACAUACUAUAAAUAUGUAACUUUCAUUUCAAUAAUAUGCAAUAACAAUAAUUACCAUCAUCAAACAUUCAUUUUCUAUUUGUACUUAAUUGCAAAAUUUAAUAAUAUAUAAGUAACUCAUGAAAUUUCACAUAUAUACCAUUAACUAGAAAACAAUAAUAUAAUCAUAAAGUGACACACAUAUACAUAUUAUUACACUAUGAACUUACCUAAAAUCUACUUUCGAUUAAUACACAGGGACUACUCCGCUAUUUUUUCCCUUUUCUCGGUUAUUGUCUUUUUGACUCGGUUCUUGAUCUAUAUAGUAAUUAAAUUCAAUUUAUGAAAUUCACAUACAUUUAAAACUCAAUUCAAUGCAUGAUACCCUUAUGUUUUCAUUAUUUUCACAUUUUUCUUAAACUUUUACAUUUCUCACAAUUUAGUCCCUACAAAAUUUAACAAAAUUUUACAAUUUUCCAUGUUAGUUGAACUUCUUUCGAAACUAGUACAAUCCCUAAUUAUUCACAAUUCACAAAAUUUCUAUGCAAAUUUUAAUAAUUCACACAUUGAUCAUUAAACUCAAAAUUAACACAAAUUUUUUUACAAAAAUAUCCUAAUCAACAUUCAAAUAUGUACAACUACCAUUAAAAAUCAUGAACACCAAAAUUCCAUUACUAACCAAUCCCUAAAACUUUAACAUUUUUAUAAUUCCAUCCUCGGGUUUAAUAGUUUAAGUUACAACGAGUUCAAAAACGUAAAAAUUAUUAAAAACAGGUAAGAGAAACACUUACAUGCACCAAUUUGCUAACCGAAACUUCAAGCUCCAAAAAUGGAGUUUUUUUUUUCUUUUUCGGUGGGAGAGAGUUGAGAAGAUGAUGAUACCAUUUUUUUCUUUUGUUUCUUUUCUUUAAUCAAACUAAUUACUAAAUUAUCCUUUUAAUCUAAACUAAAUUAUUAACAUAGCAUGUCCGUAAUUAUCCAUUAACUAACCAUAAGGUUUAUCUAUCAACCAAGUCCAUUACUUUAGUUUUUCUUUAAAAAUCAAGCACAUUUAACAAAUAGAAGCCACUUUAGCAUCUUUUACAAUUUAGACCUUUUUACUAAAUUAACUAAACAGACAUUAAAAUUUCUUAGCCAAAUUUUAUUAUGACUCCAAUAUAACUCUAUAAGCAUAAAAUAAACAUAAAAUACUAACUCAUUUGUCGAAAUUGUGGUCCUGAAACCACCUUUUUUGAUACCACUGAAAAAUGAGAUAUUACAUUAAAUCUCUAAUUUAUGAUAAUGAAUGUGAGAGAAUAAUUUUCUUUGUUUAGAAAUACUAAUCAUUUUCUUUGUUUAGUAAUACUACAACUAGAAUGUGUUUCGACCCUAUUAUUAGAAACUAAUAAUGGAAACCCAACUUUUAAUUAGAAACCUCUAAUUUUAAAGUUUAAUAGGUAACACCCCGAAUUUUGGCCCUAGAAGAAAUAUGUUUUGAACAAGGGAACAGUUAGGAGACUGCACAUAAAUAUUUAGUUGUGCAAGGAAGUGACAUAAAUGAAUGUCUACUUCAGUGGUUGAGUGAUUUAGGAGUGUUUGGAACUGUCUGAGAAGUCAGGGAUUCAAGCAUUGCUUAUGCAAAAUUUUUAUUUUAAGUGAAUAAAAUCAUUGGAUCUAGAUAGUAAGUUCUUAAAUUAUUGUGGUUAAAAUAUGAUGCAAAAGAGUUGUUGGUCUAGUGGUAAGGGGUGUGUGGAGUGCACAUAGGGCCUAAGGUUCGAGUGGUGGCGCAUCAGAAAGGAAAUAUUUAUUUUGCUACUUGAGCUGUUUAGGUAGUGGAGUUGGACUGAAACACAACUAAGGGGAGUUUGCAUAGAAUUUGAAUGGAGUUGUUGGGGGAGUUGAGGAGAAACCGGUAGAAUAAUUUAAGGAGGGAUAAGGGGAGAGAUUUUAGGAGAAAAUCAAGGGAAGUGAGGGGAGUGAAGAAGUGUGCCGAAAGUGGACUUUGAUACUCAGGAAAUUUGGCCAGAAGGGAUACUGCUCAUUUUGGUAUACUUUUCAUUUCGGUUUUGUGUAGUGUUUCUCUCUCUUUUUGCUUUUUGGUGCCGAAUUUUUGCUAAGAUUUCGAGUACCACUCGGGUUUUUCUUUUGCUGCUUUUUUCUUUUAUCAUUUCUUUUGUUUUGGCCGAAUUUCUUUUUAGUUCCCUCCUUUGUCGAAUUCUUUUCUCUCUUCUCUUUGUUGCUUCUUUUCAUUUCUCUAUUUUUCCAAACCUUGACCGAACAGUGUUGAAGUAGUUCUGUGUUCCAUCUUUUGUCUAAAAUGCUCUUCUUCCUCUACUCCUUUUGAUCAACUAUUUGUCGAAUAUUGCCUUCUCUCCCCUUUUAUCUCUUUAAAUUUAUUUUCGGCUUGACAACAAUUCUCUAACAGUUCAAAUUUCUUGAGGAGUGAAAAAGUAUCGCAUAAUAUUAAAGUCAUCGAAACCUUUCUCUCAUCACUCGAUCAAAGGUAAGUAUGUAGGCUAGCAUUCUAAAGUGUAGGCUGAGUGCUUUCUAUGGUUUCAUAAGUUAUUAUGUUUGGAUUUAAACCACAUGAAUAAACAAUCCUAUUUAAUAAAAUCCGUUUGUAAUGCAGAUAUCCAUCAAAGAGAUUGUAGUCAACCUUCGUCAGUGAUAUAAGUAGGCUAAGUCACAUUUGACAAUCGAGGCUUUGGUGCUCGUGGAUCUUAGAGUGUUUUCACAAUCAGGUGUGUAAACACCCCACUGUAACCGUAGAACGACAAAAAGCUAAAAGGCCAAAAAUACGGUGUUUGAGACCACACAGGCGUGCGAUCUCUCAUGUGGUAAGCCCAACCCACAAAUCAUGGCCGAUAGACUGUAGAGGCCUCCAUGAACAUUUCCAUGGGCUUAGGCCGUAAUGGGCCACGUUGGGCCGAAAUGGGUCGUGUGGGUUCAAUAGGCUCGUGGGCACCAUACAGAUGAGAACCACGAUUUGUGAAAAAUACUGGACUGGGCUAUGAAGAUCUCAUAGCCGUGGAAAAAUCUGGGCUGAACAGGCCGCACAAGCGUGCGGGCCUACUUGGGCCGAGUAAUGGGCCUUAGGCCCAUUUGUACCAUUAUGACCAUUUAGGUUACCUGAGUCGCUCGAGGUAACUACGGACCUUUCGAGAGGUCGAUAUCUGCACCAAGACCCAAAAUAGGUAAAAUGAUCGAAAUACCCCUAUAGAGUAAAAUGACCGAAAUACCCCCAAAGGAUAAAAUGAUUGAAAUACCCCUAUAAGGUAAAACGAUCGAAAUACCCCCGUAGGAUAAAAUAACUAUUAUACCCCUAGAAGAUGAAAUGACUGUUAUGGCCUUAUGCUAUGUAUGACUGUUUUGCUCUAUGAUAUGUAUGACUAUGGUUGAGCAUGACAUUUUUCAUACACGUAUGAUAUUAUGUCAUGAUAUAUUGCAUGGGGAUGGAUUGUUAUAUUUGGAGGAAGUGUACUGUACUGACAAGGUUGCACGGGUCGCCCAAGACGACUGUGGACCUACUGAUGGCUAUAUGCCAUUUAUUUUACUGGCAGCUUUGCUGCAAUACUGUUUAAUGCUGCAACUGGUGCUAAUCUUGGUGUGUUUGGAUGGAUGGGUAGAUUUUAUCCCCCAUAUGGUGUGUUUGGCGGAACUGUAACACCCUUAACCUGAAUCCAUUCUGACAUUGUCUCACAAAAUUUAUUAUAUCUCAUAGUUUACAAUUUUAUUACUUACACCAUUUCUUCCAUGAGAAACUAGACUCAAUAAGUUUUAAUUCUAUAUUUUAUUCAUACUCUAAUUCGAUUUUCAUAAUUUAUGGUGAUUUUUCAAAGUGAGCCUACUGUUGUUGUCCAAAACUAUUUUAGUACAAGAUGUUUAUUACCAUGUUUAUAACACCCUUAUUUUCUUUCUCUACACUAUUUCUCAUCCCUUUCUCUUAUUUUCUCUUCACUUACAUAUUAAGAACAUAGGACCAUAUAUACAAAAAAACUUUACACUAACAUCAUUUCCAUACUUUUUCAAUAAUAUCAAACUUAAAAAUAUACUAAAAUCUUGAUGUACUUACCUUGUCAUAUUGAUUUUAAUCUUUAACUUGAUUUUCUCUCUCCUCCAGCUUCUAUUUCUUGAAUCUAACUUGAUAUUAUAGCUCCCCAUAGUCUCCUUGUAAUCUUUCUCUCUUGAUGGAUAUGGAAAUUCUUUUGAUUUCUAGAUGAAAAUAGUGAAUUUUUGGUGAAAGGACUAAAUUGUAAAGAAAGCAAAACUUUCUUUCUUCUCUUCUCCUCUUAACGUGAAUUGCAUGGAAAAGAUGGUGGGUUGGUUCCUUUUCAUCUUUCUUUCCACAUAUAUAUACUAAAUAAUAAAAUAAUAAAAUAUCAUUUAAAAAUCAAAUUAAAAUACUAAUAAACUAAUAUUUAUUUGUUUAUUUAAUCUAAAAUAUCUCCAACAUCAUCAUUAUCUUCUAGAUUUCUCUCUCUUCUAAUUGACCAUUUUGCCCUUCAUGAUAUUUUAAAAUUCCAUCCUUGAGUCAUCACUUAAUUUCGUAAAAUUUCAAUUUAGUCCCUCAAAAUUCCUCACCUUUUUUCAAUUUAGUCCUAAUACAUCCAUUUUCCUUAGUUUCUAGAUCAUUCCACCCUUAAAAUAUUUACACCAUUGGUCCUUCAAUUUUUUCAUAUUUACACUUUAACCCCUCAAUUUUUGAGUAUUUACUCUUGGGCAACAAAAUUUUUACGAUUUAAUCCUUUCUUGAGGUAAUAUGUCAUAAUAUACUUCCCAAUGUUGACAUAACUCCAAAAUUCCCUUUUUUGUCGCUUUAUUUCCUUAUUUUUUUAUAUCAAAGAUAAUAUCUUACUGUAAAAAUUUUUUUGGGGGGUAUUACAUUUCUCUCCCCCUCAAAAUAAAUUUCGUCCUCGAAAUUUCCUUAUUUUCUUUUGAUCAUGAACUUAUUUUUUCUUUAAUUCUAUAGUUCAUUUUUUUUGCAUAUAUUUACUUAGCUUAUCAUUUGUGUCUAUUCUUUAUUCUUUCAUUUCACAAUUUAUUUUUAAUUUAAUAUUUCAAACAUGAAUCAGAGAUAAACUUUUACCUUGUAACUAAAAUUAUUUACCUUUUUACCUGAGGCCCAGUGGACUAAAUAGAACACGUAGGAUAUAUGAAAUUGAUACAGAAGUGCUCUGUUAUACAUCAUUAAACAGAGAGCACUAAAGUGUUAUACGGGAGCAUAAAUGUGCUAAUAAUUGGAGAGCACUAGCGUGCUAUUAAUCAGAGAGUGCGCUAAGGUUCCUUAAUGAUAUACUACUAAUAUCCUAAUAGUUCUAAUCUCAUCUACUUGGGCAAAUUAUAUCAUGCAUGCAUACGACUUUUACACUUUGCGCAUAAUGCUUUUACAUACUUUACAAUUUAAACCUUGUACCAAUGAUUCGUAUAUUUAUACCUUCUCUACCUUUAAUACAUGUAAUAUAUUUCAAAAUUCACUAAUAAUCCAUAUAUAUCAUGUACUUCAUAUAUCAUUUUUACAUAUUAUGCAAUUUAGUCAUCAGCGCAAUAUUUCUUGUAGCAAUAUGUUUUUCUUUUAAUGACACAUAUAACAUUCAUCAUCGACAUGUAUUAUAAAACAUUUAUUCAUACUUUCAUGAGUUCCAAUUCAUCCUAAUCAAUUUUUUUUACUCAUAUACUUGAGUAUCACUUUCAACAUUAUCAGAAUUAGCUCGGUUAGGAAAACAUCUCUGUUUAUAAGUAAAACAAUUCUCAUCAGACUCGAGAGAUAUCACACUAUCACAGGUUACAUAAUGGCAUGCAUUUCUAGACUUCACAUAAGCUACGUUUGGUCCAAGAACCGACUAAAUCGUAGCUCUGAUACCAAUAAAUGUAACACUCUUAACCCGAAUCCAUUCUGACAUUGUCUCACAAAAUUUAUUAUAUCUCAUAGUUUACAAUUCUAUUACUUACACCAUUUCUUCCAUGAGAAACUAGACUCAAUAAGCUUUAAUUCUAUAUUUUAUUCAUACUCUAAUUCGAUUUUCAUAAUUUAUGGUGAUUUUUCAAAGUGAGCCUACUGUUGCUGUCCAAAACUAUUUUAGUACAAGAUGUUUAUUACCAUGUUUAUAACACCCUUAUUUUCUUUCGCUACACUAUUUCUCAUCCCUUUCUCUUAUUUUCUGUUCACUAACGUAUUAAGAACAUAGGACCAUAUAUACAAAAACUUUACAUUAACAUCAUUUCCAUACUUUUUCAAUAAUAUCAAACUUAAAAAUAUACUAAAAUCUUGAUGUACUUACCUUGUCAUAUUGAUUUCAAUCUUUAACUUGAUUUUCUCUCUCCUCCAGCUUCUAUUUCUUGAAUCUAACUUGAUAUUAUAGCUCCCCAUAGUCUCCUUGUAAUCUUUCUCUCUUGAUGGAUAUGGAAAUUCUUUUGAUUUCUAGAUGAAAAUAGUGAAUUUUUGGUGGAAGGACUAAAUUGUAAAGAAAGCAAAACUUUCUUUCUUUUCUCCUCUUAACGUGAAUUGCAUGGAAAAGAUGGUAGGUUGGUUCCUUUUCAUCUUUCUUUCCACAUAUAUAUACUAAAUAAUAAAAUAAUAAAAUAUCAUUUAAAAAUCAAAUUAAAAUACUAAUAAACUAAUAUUUAUUUAUUUAUUUAAUCUAAAAUAUCUCCAACAUCAUCAUUAUCUUCUAGAUUUCUCUCUCUUCUAAUUGACCAUUUUGCCCUUCAUGAUAUUUUAAAAUUCCAUCCUUGAGUCAUCACUUAAUUUCGUAAAAUUGCAAUUUAGUCCCUCAAAAUUCUUCACCUUUUUUCAAUUUAGUCCUAAUACAUCCAUUUUCCUUAGUUUCUAUAUCAUCCCACCCUUAAAGUAUUUACACCAUUGGUCCUUCAACUUUUUCAUAUUUACACUUUAACCCCUCAAUUUUUGAGUAUUUACUCUUGGGCAACAAAAUUUUUACGAUUUAAUCAUUUCUUGAGGUAAUAUGUCAUAAUAUACUUCCCAAUGUUGACAUAACUCCAAAAUUUCCCUUUUUGUCGCUUUAUUUCCUUAUUUUUUUAUAUCAAAGAUAAUAUCUUAGUGUAAAAAAAAAUUUUUUGGGUAUUACAGGAACAGAGUGGUGUGUAGAGGCUGGAUUGGGUAGGAUUUCUAACUGCAUAUCUACACUAAUUAAUGAUUUUGUAUUGUUACUACAUCGAUUAAUGAUAUUACAUACUGUUUACUGCAUGACUGAUAUUUGUUGCUGUUAUGGGCCAAGGCCCCACUGAUACUAUUACUGAAAUUGGGCAAAUGCCCUAUUGAUUAUUGGUAUUGUGAUGGGCUCAAGCCCAAUCGUUUAAUGUUACGGGAAAGGGCUUAGGCCCACACUGAACUGGACUGUUACUAUAACAGGCUCAGGCCCAAACUGUAUUUAUCUAUUGUUUAAUUGACUACUUACUUGUUAGGGGAUUGCACACUGAGUUUUCGUAAACUCAACCCGUUGUUUAACUGUACAGGUAAUCCCUAGUUGUAGUAGGGUCAGUGCUGCGAGGGACUCGAUGAUGGCCACACAACUGCAUCAGCUUUUGUUUUUAGCCUUUGAUUUAUAAGAAACUGAAUUUGGGUAUUUUUAUGUAAAAAGGCCUCUUUAAAGUUAUAAACUUUAAAUUGGGGUUUUUAUUUAUUUAGUUUGAUAUAAACUACUAGUUGUAGAAAAAGACGGGUUUUCAAAAGGUAAAUGUUUUCAAAGUUUCAAAAGGUAAAUGUUUUCAAAGACACCACGUUUUCGCAACAUUUCUAAAAAAAAACUUCCGCAAUGAAUGAGAUUUUGGAAAAUUUAUAACGUUUUAAAAGUGAUUAGCUUUUAAUGAUGCAUGCUUGGAAAUGAACAACCCGUUUUGGAAUCAUAGUUUAACAGCAAAAUGAUUAAUUGAUUUUAAAGAUUUCAACGACAACAAGUUUUACGCUAAACACCUUAAAGUGACACCGCCAGAUUCAACCAUAACUCCUAGGCCGGGUUUGGGGUGUUACAAUGUGUUUCAACCCUAUUAUUAGAAACUGAUACCCUAUUAUUAGAAACUGAUAAUGGAAACACAACUUUUAAUUAGAAACCUCUAAUUUUAAAAUUCAAUAGGUAAAAGCAAGUUAUCGUUAAGUGCCUGUGAUACGCUAGUAAAACUCAUUCUAGAAAAAAAAGUUUAAUGGAAACAAUUGUUAUCCAUUGCGUAUAGAGGAUGAAUUUGAAUACUAUUAAUUAAGUUCAUUGUUUAUUGUUUAAAUGUCUAAAGUAAGGGAGACAUUAAAAGAACUCUACCUUUAUAAACAUAAGAAGUGGUGCCACUUCAACAAGUAAAGGUAGGGUCUCUCUUGUAAAUGUUUAUUAUGAACAAGAUAAGCACAUGAUCAUUUUAGUGCUAAAAGUGAACAACCUCUGAUAGAAAUAUAAACGAAUAUUAUGUAUAGUGUAUUUCAACUUCUAAUACUAGGAGUUGUGGUUCAAUCUUCGGACACCGACAACUUAUUAAAACUUUGAAAAGCAUCCGCUUAUUGAUGGUUCAUAUUGAGAGGUAUCAUCUUUAAUGCAUAAUAUUUGUUUGAGUGAAUGACCAUAAAGUAUGGUACCAACAUUUAAACUAAGGGUGAUUGUUAGUAGUUUAUAAUUUUGGCAGUAAAAAUAUUUUAUUAUGUAGAAAAGUCUAAUAAAUUAUAAUUAUUGGUCAAAUAGUUGUGUUGUAAAGACAAUUUUUGUAUGUAAAGUUGUCUUAUAAACUUUAUGUAAAGUUGUGUUGUAAAACAACAAAAUUAUAUGAAAAUGUAUCUUAUUAAAAGAUACAUCCAUAUGAAAGGGUAUCUCAUGAAAAGAUACACCUAUUAGAUGUCUAUAUAAAAGAUUUUUCUGUUAGUUAUUUAAAUUGUUUUGCUUGGAGUGUUGAGGGCUUUGUUGUAUCUUGAAGGUAUUUUAAAAUCUUAAAGAAAGUGCUCUACACACCUUAAAGUCAUUAUAUUUUAUAACAUUAUUUUAUUUUUCUAACUUUUAUUUUCCUAUUAUUUAUUUUUCUAACAGCUAGAAUAUAGGAAAAUUAUUAUGUUUCUAGCUAUAUAUUGAAUACAAGUAUGUUGGUGUUUAGAACUCGAACUUUGAUGGUUGAUCGAGAGAUUUGAAGCAGAAAGAAGAGACGGGAAGUUUUAAGUAGAAAAAUAAUUGAAGACUGGAAUAUAUAAUUGAUUUGCACCUCAACUAUUUAAAUACAAAAGUUCAAGCUAAAAAUAGAAAAAAAAAGUUCUAAAAAUCUGCUAAAAAUCUGGUAACAAAAUAGCAAACAAAUCAAAAAUCUAAUCUCCUAAAGUCAAGGAGAAUUAUUCAAACUUAGUAACAGAAAAAAUUUAAAUGGCAGCAAUCUUAAACACAUGAUCUUAACACUCCUCCUUGUUUAGAUGCUACAAACUCCAAGUUUCUUCCUGAAGCUUUCAAACUUGCUAAGUGGCAAUGGUUUGGUGAAGAUAUCUGCAAUUUGAUCUUCAGAUUUGUAGUAACAAAGAGACACAUCACCACUCUUUUAAACUUCUCGAACAAAAAAUAACUUGAUGUUAAAAUGCUUAGUCUUCCCAUGAAAGACUGGAUUGUUAGAGAUUGCAAUGGCAGCCUGGUUAUCAACUAGAAUCUUUGUGCUUUGCUUCUACUCCAUGUUUAGAUCAACAAGAAUCUUCCUUAACCAGAGAGCUUGGUUAACUGUUGCUGUUGCAGCCAUAAAUUCUGCCUCAACAGUGGAUUGAGCUACAGUUUCUUGCUUCUUCGAGCUCCAAGAGAACAUGCCUGAUCCAAGGCAAAAACAAUAACCAGAGGUACUCUUCAUAUCAUCAGUUAAGCCACCCCAAUCACUGUUAGAGAAACCAAUCAACUUCAAUUCCCUAUGCUUUAAAAACUUUACUCCAUAAUUCCAGGUCCCCUUGAUGUAUCUGAUAACUCUUUUUGCAGCUCUCAUGUGAGUCUCAUUGGGACAAUGCAUGAAUCUGGAGAGAAUACUUACAGCAUUCAAGAUGUCGAGUCUGGUUGUUGUUAAGUACAUUAGACAACCUACCAAACUCCUGAACUCAGCUUCAAUGACUUUGGCAGAACCAUCAUCUUUGAUUAGCUUCUCUUUUUGAUUCAUAGGAGUACUCAUUGCUUUGCAAUCUUCCAUAUGGAAUUUUCUAAGUAUCUCCUUUGCAUACUUUCUUUGACAGAUGAACACUUCAUCUUGGCUUUAUUUGAUCUCAAUGCCAAGGAAAUAAGACAUCAGAUCAAGGUCUGUCAUUUCGAAGACAUUAUGCAUUUCCAAUUUAAACUGAUUAACUUGAUCGAUAUUGCUCCUUGUAAUCAAUAAGUACAAAUAAGCAAGCUUUUUCCUUUGAUUUCCUUAUCUUCUUUUCUUUUUGUGCUUUAAUCUGUGCCACAGUAGGAUUUGCUGGAAGAGGUGGGACCUCGUAAUCCUCUUCUACAGGUUCCCAAAGAUCCAAAGCCUCUAUGUAAGUCUCCAUGCGAACUGCCUACAUCUGGUAAUUGUCUCCAUCGAAGACUGGUGGUGCAGCAACUGAAAAACUGGACCCUCCUUCCAUAUUAACACGCAAAUAACCUAACAAAUCCCUCAAGAAAAUAGCUCUGAUACCAAUUUGUUGGUGUUUAGAACUCGAACUUUGAUGGUUGAUCGAGAGAUUUGAAGCAGAAAGAAGAGACGGGAAGUUUUAAGUAGAAAAAUAAUUGAAGACUGGAAUAUAUAAUUGAUUUGCACCUCAACUAUUUAAAUACAAAAGUUCAAGCUAAAAAUAGAAAAAAAAUGUUUUAAAAAUCUGCUAAAAAUCUGGUAACAAAAUAGCAAACAAAUAAAAAAUCUAAUCUCCUAAAAUCAAGAAGAAUUAUUCAAACUUAGUAACAGAAAAAAUUUAAAUGGCAGCAAUCUUAAACCCAUGAUCUUAACAAAGUACUACUUGGAAGCCAACACCCACAAACAUGAUAAAAGUUAAUUUUGAUGAGAGUUUUGACAUGGAAGCAAGAAAUGAGGAAGAGGGUAGUUAUGCAGCAUUGUGAUGAUUUUUUAGUCUGACUAUGCAACCAUCCAAUUUAGGGUGCAUUCUCCAUUGUGGUGAAAAAGCACUUAAAGAACAUUUGGUUUUUGCACUUAAAAUGUGAUGGAAAAAUGUUUUUCCACCCAAAUACAAAAACUAGGAUAUAAAUGUUUUUGACUUUUAGCUUUUAUGUUUGGAAGUGAAAAUUAUCAAAAUAUCAUUAUUUAUAUUAACUAUUUAAAUGGUAUAUAAAAAUUAGAUUAAUUUAUAUUUUAUAUAUCAUUAUAUUAAAUUAUUUAAAUAUUAUUUAUUAUUAUAUAUUUUAAUAAUUUAUAUAUCAUCUAUUUUACAAAUAAUUUAUAUUAAUUACUUAAAAAAUAUUUGGAACUUAUAUUUCAUGUAUCAUUAUAUUAAAUUAUUUAAAUAUCACAUAAUUUAACUAAUUUUUUACUUUCCACUAUCAUGUCUAAAGAAAAGGAUAUUUUAACUUUUAACAAGAAUUUUUUGUAGCAAUGGAGAACACCAAAAAUUAAUAAACACACUUUUUCAUAGUAAUUUUCAACCACACUUUUCAACCGCAACCCUAAUGAAGAAUUAAUCCUUACUAAAGUUACCGAAGCACUAGCUUCCACCGUAGCCAUUGAAAUGGCGCUCCAAUUGGGAUUGCAACACAUUAUUAUUAAAGGAGAUGCUCUCCAAGUGGUUUCGGAGUUGAAGGAAGACAAAGGAGACCUACCAACAACCGGACCUUGAUAGCAAAGAGUUGAAUACUUGCUAAACAGGUUCAGCAAUGUAGGUUUCAACACAGGAAGAGGCAUGCUAAUGAGGUGGCACAUCAUCUGACCAAACAGGGCCUUAAUUGUUUUCCAUCUUUUGUUCAUAUGUUUGUUUUGAAAAGGUAAAACAAAUCCUCACCUAUUGAUGUUAGAACGGUUGAAUUGCUAAAAGCAUGCUGCAUGCAUAACCAUGCUUUAGGUUAGGCUUCAAAUUAAAUAAAUUUUAAAUUAUUUUUAUUUAAAUUUAAUUAUAAAAAUAAAUUAAUAUCAAUAGAAAAUUAUAUAAAAUUUUAAGAUAUUUUAUUUUUCAAUAAUAAAACGAAUCAUUCACCAAACCUAAUUCUUCAAUUUCUUUUUAAUUAGAUCACAACUCAAGCCAAGCUAACCAAUAAACACCCAAAAUCUACCAUCAUUUUCAUUUUCAUUUUUUUUUCUUUUGUGACAAAGUAGACAGAAGAUUCGGUUUGGAUAAGCUCUACGUUAUUAAGUCAAAAGCUGAAGUAAUUUUAAUCAUAAAUUGUUUUAUUUGUCUAUAAUGCAAAACAAUGACCCAGUUAGUACAAUAAAGCUUUAACUUUGUGGAACAUUUCAGUCCAAAAAAAAAAAAAAAAAGAAUUGUGGAAAUUUUAGAGCAGUUGACCAUUUCUUCGGAAUUAGUUUUCUCACUUCUUGUCCAUAUUCCAUGUAUAUUAUUUCAAGAAAUUAGGUUUAGAAAUUUGCAUAAUUCAACCAUUGAACUAAUAAAUAUUAAACAAAAAUUGGGUGGCAAAAAAAAUCUUAUUAAAAUCAUAUACUAUUACUAAAAUUUAUGAUUAAAUUAGUGUCACGAGUUAACGGGACAUUAACAAAUUAUAUUAUUUGAGGGUAUUUUAAUCUUUUUAUUAAAAAAGAUGAUGUCUCAAAUUAACUCACAAUCUAAUCUAAUUUUUCAUUUUAAUAUUGUAAAUAUUUCAUGUUUUAUUAUUAAUUUGUUUCAAAUUAUACAUUUCAUUAUUUAUUUUAUGUUAUUUUUAAACACAUCUGUAUUCUAAGUACCUAAUUUUCACUUAUGGGUAUCAGAGGCGAAUCUAGGGAGGCUGAUAGGGGUCUCGGUCCCCUUAAAAUAGAAAAUUAUUAUUUAAGCCAUUUAGAAAAUUUUAAAAUUUUAAAUUAGUAAAUGUAAAAUUACACUUUGACCCCUCUAAAAUUAUAAAAAUUUGAUUUAAUCCUUUAAAAAUUAUAAAGAUAUAAACUAUUAAAAAUAAAAAUUUCAUUUCGGCCCUGCCUAAAAAAUUUUUUUGACUUCACCCCUAAAGUAUGAUAGAGUUUCUAGUAUGAAUAAUUUUCUUUGGAAGUGUUAAACAAACAAAGGAGUUAAGUAAACAGUAGUUUUCAUACAGAAAUAUUCGGCGUUGAUGUUUCCCUUUCGAAUAAUUAAAUUAAGACUUAGGAAAAGGGAAAACAAUGAAAAAGAAACUAAAAUUGAGCUUAAUUUAUGGAGUUGGGUUAAAAUUUUAAUAUUUAAAUAUAAAAAUUCUAAUAAUUUGAUCUGGUCCGUUUCAUCUAGCAGACUAAUAAUAAAUCUUAAAACAUAUUAUAUUUUAAUUUAAAUAAAACCAAAACUAAUACACUUGACCUACAUCUACAUGUGAUCUAUGCUUCAUUUAAAUUAGUCUAAAUUAGACGAGAUCUUGAUUAGGAGUCAUUUAUUUAUAUUAUAAGUCCCUGAAACAUGCAAAACUUACAUUUAAAAAUUAAUAUUUUUACGUUGUUGUUAGAAUAUAGGGUUUGUUAAUGUUUUCGUGUGAAGUCAGCUGUUGACAUUACCAAUCAGAUAAUGAAAAGGAAACAUGGCAAUUAUUCCAUCCUAAUUGUCACCAAAUUAAGUUAAUCCAAAAAUUACCAAACGUUUAGUACUUCAAUGGUAGAGUCAGCUCUUUCUUCUAGUCUAUCAAAAAAAGUCAAUUUAACCCCUAACUCUUGGAUGGAAAAGUUUUUGCUAUGAACUUGUUGAAGUGAAUCUCAUGUGAUAUAAACGCAUCGCAAUCUCCGUGUGUAACUAAAAAUAUUUGAGAGAUUGAAUAAUUUAAAGGGGAAAAAAAAAGAAUUUACUCCCUCCACUAACAAAUUACUCUUGCCAACGUAUGUAUGAAAGUAAACACCUUUAAUUAAUCAACAAAUGCUAAAGUUCGAGGUUUAGAAUUAAUUAAAUACCAAUAUAAAUAGUUAAUUACUUUUUUGAAAUAAGGAUAAAUCAGUUUGUGAGGUUUGAAUUUUUUGUAUCUUAACAAUUGUUCUGACUUUAGAGUUUGAAGGUUUUUUUUUUAUCCAAAUUAACCUAUGAACUUAGUAAUUUGUCUCUCAUUAAGGUUUAAAUUUUUUAUUUAUCUAAGUUAAUUCUUAAAAAUCUUGAAAUUCGAGAAUAAUUGUCAAGUUAAAAAAAUUUAGAUUUCAAUAUGAGAAUAAUCUACUAGUUCGUAACCUUAAUAUAAAAACAAUUGUUAAGUUGAAAACUUAAUUUAAAAACAAAUUCAAACCCUUCUUAAGUUUACGAUUUAACCCUUUGAAAUAUUGCGUUAACUAGUAAGAGUAAGAAUUAUUUUGUGUUGAUGAUUAAAUAAAUAUUUAAGUGGAGAUCAAGUUUUACCUCAUUUGUCAAUUGUCAGGUGAAGAAUAUAUACCCCUAAAGGCCUAUCAAAAACGGACCUAUCUCUAUCUAUAUAUCUUAACUAAUUUACUAUUCAUUUUUAAUGAAAAUCAAUAAAUCAAUGAAAACGUUAUAAAAAGAAAACUACGUGAAUAAAUUAUAUGUGUAAAAUUGAAAUAUUUCUUAUUUUAGUACAAUGGUAAGGAACAUUACAUUUUUAAGGAAAUGAUGUCAGGUUCAAACCUUAAAGAUAAUAUUCUUCUUCUUGAGAAGAACAAUCCCAAACUCCAAAAUGAACCCUUAUGAAUUAUAUAAAAAAAUUUUGAAAUAUUUCUAUAAAAUAUCAUUAAAGUUUUUUAUUUAAAAAAUGUUAUGGGUAUACUUUUACCUCUUGUAAAAAAGUCUUUCAUUUCUCAAUUCUUAUGGCAUAGUAAAUUUAUCAUUAAUUUUCAUCUUUAGGUAAAAAAAAUGGUUAUUAUUUGUGUAUUAAAUAAUUGUUAGGAUAAAUUUUAAAAUUGUAUAUGAAUUUUGGUUUAAUGUUAAUUAUAUACAUUAAUUUUAAUUUUAUGUAAUUUUAUAAAUGAAAUUUUAAUUUGAUCCAAUUCUAACAAAUUAUUAACACAGUUAUUGAUAUAACAUCAUUUUAUGUUUAUAUGCUAUAUACAGAAAUAAUUAUGUUUAUUCAAUAUAAAAAUAAAUUGAUGUAUUUAUUUCUUUAAACAUAUAUGAUUGAAUCAAAAUUAAAACAUCGUGUAUAUAUUUGAACCACAAUUAAAAUUUUACAUAUAAAAUUACAUAAAAUUACAAUUUAUAUACGUAAUAAACUAAAAUUCAUAUAUAAUUUUAAGAUUUAUGUCCACAAUUCUCUAAAGCUAAACGGUGAUGAUUACCAUGGAAAUUCAAUGUACUUAACUAAUUGGUUGAUAGGAACAGGCAUGAUGAAAUCCAUGAUGGGAAGAGAGAGAAUUCAAAAACUGGAAUGCCCCCAUUAAUCCAUGCAAAUAAACUUUUUCGGUAUUACAUCAUAAUUCAUUUAAUUUUAUCAUCAUCUCUAUGCCAUAACCAUGUUUAAAGUAAAAUACUUAUAUAAAUUGAGACAUUAAUAGUUUGUAUUAUAUAAAUUAUGACAUCCAUAUAUCCAUAUUAUAAUUUUUAUGAAAAAUUAGAGCUGGCAGAUAAAAAAUGGCUUACUGAUCAAUGAAAAAUAAACUUUAUUUCUUGUAAAUUGACUUAUCCUUUUAAAAAGUAUAAAUAUUUUUUUAAAAUUCAUUUAUGAGUAAUUUUAUUAUUAUAAAAAUUAAUUUUGCAAAGUCUAAUAUUAUUAUAUUAAUAAUUUUAUUUUAAAACUAUUUAAAAAUACUAAUAUCAAAUAUUAUAAUGUUGAAUCCUAGUAACAUACAUAUUAAAUUAUUUAAAUUAUGUAAUAUUGCAAUUUUAUUUUAAUACUAAAUUUUAACAACAAUAAUUUUAAAUUUUAGAUCAUAUUUUUAAUAUAUUAUUGAAAAAUAUUUAUAUUAAUAUUUUAAUAAUAAAUAUAUAUAUUAAAAUUUAUAAAUAUUUAAUAAUAAAUGUUUUAUAGUAUAAAAUAUGAAUAUUUUAAUUAUAUAGAUAUGAGCAUUUGUUUAAAUCAUGUUUAGUUUCAUUUAUCUCCCAACUAUAAUGUGUUAUUAUACACCGUCAUAUAUAUAAUAUAUGUAAUUUAAGCAUUGUUUAUUAUUAAAUUUAUAUAUGAUAUUAAUUAUUAUAAAAUAUUAUCUUAUUAUAAAAGAAAUUCUAAUUAUCAAAAAGAAAUGUUACUUUAAUAUUUUGUAACAAGUAUAUUUAUGUUGGGCUUGUUUCAAUAAUAACUUUAAAAUGAUUUUAGAAAAAAAAUUGUCAAAUAAUAAAAAAAUAUUUUAAGCAAAAUAAUUCAAACACAAAAAACUAUCAACUUUUCCAUAAAAUCAAUCCAAUUUUAAGAAAACAUUUUGUGAAAAUUGUUUUAGGUAAAACAAAAGGAACCUAUAUUUUAUAUAGUAUUUGAAAAGUUGUUGUAUCUAGAAUUAUUAUCUUAAAUAUUUUUUUAGGUCUAAUUUUAAAUUUCAUCCCUUUAUGAAAAUUGAGAAGUUAAAUUUUCUAUUUUACUUUAUCAGUCUGUGCUUGAUUGUUUAUUAAUUUGUCGUGUAUAAAUGGUUAAAUUAUUGAUUUUUGUUAAUUACUAGCAUGUAAAUUGUCAAACUACUUGUUCUCAAGGGAACGGUAAAGUUUAAUAGUAUUAUCAAUUUAGAACAAUUUUUGAGUUUUUUCUUUUAUUUUUCAUGUUCGAGUCCAUAAUUACUCCUUCUAAUAAUGUCGUCUUUAAAGUUUGAGUUCGAAUUCAAAUUCUCUUUUUGGAAGUACAAUAUGCCUUAUAAUUAUACCUAAUACUUUUGAUUUUUGUAAAAUAUAAGAAUCAAAAUUGUGUAGUAGGAUUAAUUUCUAGAUUUUUUAAAUUUAAAAUUUAUAAUAUUAUCAAUCGCAUCACACACAAAACCAAAGAACAAGAGAAUCUAAAAAACACGUGGACCAUUAAUUUAGGAAUGGACAUUAUAUUUUAUUAGUGGAAUAAACUCAUGCAAAAUGGUUGGAAAACACAUACAGGAUUAUAUAUACUAAUCAUUUUUAUUAUUAAGCAGAAUCGGAAAUAAAUAAAUACGAGCGAAACCACUGAAUAAUACAGCAUUGAAAUGCAAUUUGUCUACAUCAUUAUUGUUCUUCACUUCAAACGCGGAGACUAGUCUAGGCUCCCAAUCUUUUGCUUUAUCUCUCUAGAUAUAUCCUUUUCAAACUAUCUUUUUGUAGCUUUAUUUGCAUCACAGCAUUAUCUUUUCCUGCAAACAACUGUUCAAUGAUUAAAACAUGCAAAACAUUCUGAAAUAAUGCACCCUUACCAGAUGACAAAAAAAAAAAAAGAUUCUAAUGUAUCUUACCUUGGAUUGGAGCACGGUCAAAGCCGUGGCUUAGUAGUGGUGAGGAGGAGGGGGUGAAGCGUAGACAUAAUGGGGUGGUGGUGGUGGAGGAGACUUGUAUUUGUAAACUGGAGGAGGAGGUGGUGGAGACUUGUACUUGUAAGGGUGCUUGGGGGGUGAUGGUGGGGGUGGUGGGGGUGACUUGUACUUGUAGGGGUGCUUGGGUGGUGACGGUGGGGGUGGGGACUUGUACUUGUAAGGAUGCUUGGGGGGUGAUGGUGGUGGUGGUGGAGGUGACUUGUACUUGUAGGGGUGCUUGGGUGGUGACGGUGGGGGUGGGGACUUGUACUUGUAAGGGUGCUUGGGUGGUGACGGUGGUGGUGGUGGGGGGGACUUGUACUUGUAGGGAUGCUUUGGUGGGGAUGGUGGUGGUGGUGGUGGGGACUUGUACUUGUAGGGAUGCUUAGGUGGUGAUGGUGGUGGUGGUGGAGACUUGUAUUUGUAAGGAUGCUUUGGUGGUGAUGGUGGUGGAGGUGGUGGGGACUUGUACUUGUAAGGGUGCUUGGGUGGUGAUGGAGGUGGAGGUGGUGGAGACUUAUACUUGUAAACUGGAGGUGGUGGGGGUGGAGACUUGUACUUGUAAGGGUGCUUGGGUGGUGACGGAGGUGGAGGUGGUGGAGACUUAUACUUGUAAACUGGAGGUGGUGGGGGUGGAGACUUGUACUUGUAAGGGUGCUUGGGUGGUGAUGGUGGGGGUGGGGGUGGCGACUUGUACUUGUAGGGGUGUUUAGGUGGUGAUGGUGGUGGUGGUGGUGGUGGUGGGGACUUGUACUUGUAAGGAUGCUUGGGUGGUGAUGGUGGUGGAGGAGACUUGUACUUGUAAGGAUGCUUGGGUGGUGAUGGUGGUGGAGGUGGUGGAGACUUAUACUUGUAAACAGGAGUUGGUGGGGGAGGAGAUUUGUACUUGUAAGGUUUCUUGUGUGGUGGUGGUGGUGGAGGAGAGUAGAUCGGAGGAGGCGGUGGGGGAGACUUGUAAUGGUAGGGUGGUAGUGGGUUCUUCUUAGGAGGUGGUGGAGGAGAAGAAUAGGUGUAAUCUGCUGAGGUUUCAAAAGGCAAACUGAGAGAAACUGCUAGAACUAAAAGAGUGACAAAGAGAGAGGUCAUUGAUGACCCCAUUUUCCCCAUCUUUACUUCUAAAAAUGGGUUUAAUUUG